UGUCGAGCACUGGACCGAUGACCUGCGAAAGAAGUUUGAGACCCUGAGGCUGAAAAUGCCAUGGUACACAGUGCAGAACCCUGCACCCAUAGCCGGAAUCAGGUUUAUCAAGGAGGAGUGGAACUUCAAGGGUAAGCCUGCACUGGUGGUGAUGAACCCACAAGGAAAGGUUGAGCAUUCCAACGCUCUCCACAUGAUUCGGAUAUGGGGAGUUAAGGCCUUCCCUUUCACAAAGGCAACUGAAGAAGAACUCUCACAUUCUCACAGAGAUAGAUGGGUGGGCAAUGUAGUCCACGACAUUCACCCAUCUCUUCCCAAUUGGGUAAUUUCCUUUUAAAAGUAGAGCUUAUGUUGCAUAAAUUACGUUCUUAGACCGGAUUAGUUUGUCACUUUACUUGACAGAUGACAAUUUAUUGAUGUAACAAGUGAAUCUCGCUUACCAUAAAAGUAAUGUGAUCCGUAGAUGUGGUCCACAAAUAUUACGGUCUCUGUAGCAUUACUCUUACUUGGAUAUAAAAUGCUCGUACAUUUGGUUAAUUAAUUUAAUUACCUUGGAAAACCAGAUCAAAGAGGAAAAAUACAUCUUCUUCUAUGGAGGCAAAGACAACGACUGGAUUCAGCAAUUCACAAAGAAAGCAAGUGCCCUCGCAAACGACCCUGUUUUCAAGGAAGCAAAGAUUCACAUCGAGUUGUUUUGUGUGGGGAAGGGAAGCAAAGGAGAAGAUGACCAUGGCAUUCUAGGACACUUCUGGUCCGGCAUAGAAAGCCUCUUCUUCACCAAGGGCCACAAGCAAGUCGACCCAGUCACUCAAGAAAUCCAGAAGCUGCUUUCUUACAAAAACGAAAGUGGAUGGGCUGUGCUCAGCAAAGGGUCUUCUGUGUUGCUGACUGGCCAUGGAGUCUCAAUCUUAAGGGUCAUAGAGGACUUUGACAAAUGGAAGGACCAUGUGAAAGAGAAAGGCUUUGAGUUUUGUUUCAAAGCAUACCAUGAGAAGGUUCGUCUUGCAACUCGACCUUGCUGCCGCCUAGAUAUUCCAGGCUCUACCGGGAAGGUCCCAGACACAAUGAAAUGCCCAGAUUGCCACCGUAGCAUGGAGACUUUUAUCAGUUACAAGUGCUGCCACAUUGAUGGCCCUAAUGCACAUCAUUAAAUUAAGUUUAUGUGGCUAAUCAGUUAAUUAACUAGUAUAUUGUAAUGGCUAGAAUAAAGGGCAUAUAGCUAGCUCAUGCAUUUUGAUGCCUGUAAUGUGUGGAGUUGUGAUUGUAAUUUCGUCCUACUAUGUUUUCUUGUGGUCAGAGUUGUGGUAAUGUGAUGUAUGAUUUGUUGGCUAAUAAUAAUAUUUGAAUAAUUUCAAAGUACUGUUUUUGGUUGUAUACUAAUUUACUUGGGGCAGAAUAAAUUUCCGCCCUAAACAAAGGAGGGGCGGAUUAAAGAAGCGACCUUAAAAAAGUGCCUCUAAUAGUAUUAGUGGUGCAUAUUUUUGUAAAUCCGCCUUUAUUGUUUUUCUUGAUAUAUAUGUUACUAUAAUAGGGGCUGUUUUUUUUUUUUUUGGGUUCAAACAAAAGAGAAAUUCCAUUAAAACUGAAUACCAACUUGGUCCCAACAGUGUACCUCUCAUGCAGUAUGACAGGACCCGAUCCAAAUUCUGCUUUGAAAUCUGAGUCAGACCCUGUGCGUGUCCGACACCUGGUGAAUGUCGGGCACAAAUGACCUAUUUGCCCUUCUAUACAAAACACGAUAAAAACAACAAGGUUGACUUCUACCGAAAAACCGGCAGAAUUUCCCUUGUAACUGGCUCAAUACCAAAACAUUUUCACCUGCCAAAUAAGUAUACAUAUCUACAACCAACUGCCAGCAUACGUAUAUAUACAUUCCAACAGUUCAAUUCACAGUCUAUGACAAAAUAUCAGAGCGACUACUAAGAAUUUACAAAGGAGUGAAUCUUUUUACAAAACAAAAAUCCUACAUCAAAGAAAGGCGCGGAAGAUGGGAAGUGGCCCGGUGGUGGAUUCCUGUGCACGUCUACUGCCUGGGGGCGCAAAACAACAAAAAGGGUGAGAGGACCCAAAAAUAAAGUUUAGAACAUAACAUAUGAACAUACUAACCCCACUUGUAAAAACUAGGGGUGGGCACUCAAACUGACGAAUCGGAAAUCCGAACCAAACCGCAUCGAACCAAACCGGAAAAAAAUCGAGUUGACCAAAAAGUCAAAAACCGGUCAAAAAUCGAACCGGACCGGUUUGGACCGGUUCCAGAUCCAGUUUCAUGUCUUUAAAAACCGAACCGGGCCGAACCGAACCGGUGAAACUAAAAAAAUAUAUAAUUUCAAUAUAUAUUUACAUUUAAUGCUAUAUUUUUAAUUUCAUUAAAAAAAACUAAUAUUUAUCCAAGUUCAAUGUCAAAAUAUCUCUCUUUUCCCACUUUAAUAUUUAUUUUUUAUAUGAAAUUGAAUAAUUUGUUAAUUUUCAAGUAAAAAAAUAAUAUUUCAGUUGAGAAUUGUAUUAAAAAAUAAUUUAAAAAAAUAAUUUUUAUAAUCCGGUUCAAAACCGAACCGGAACCGGAACCGGACCGAAACCGGUUCAAACCAAACCGGACAGUUUUUGAAAUUUUUUUUAUUAAAACCGAACCGAACCAAACCGGAUAAAUAGUAUCGGAUCGGUUCUAAUUUGAGGCAAAAACCGGUCCAAACCGAACCGUGCCCACCCCUAGUAAAAACAGUUAUACAAACUAGCUUAUUCUCUUUAUUUCUGAAAUCCAUGCAUGUAUAUAACUAUACAUUUGAAAACAGUUGAAAACUAUCACCUAGGUGUACCCCUAUUUCCGUCAAAUCCUUAUAUCCGUCAAUGCCUUGCAUCACCAUGGGUGACACAUACUCGCAGGUCUCAGUGACACGAGGUCAGUCCGAGCCGCAACUCGCAGGAUUCAGGGAACCGUAGUCCACCUUUAUCCGCAUUACUCGCUCCACACGAGUUCGAGUACCAAAGAACUCGUGGGGCAACUGUCAAGCAUGCUGACUAAACCGAAGGCAACAAAUAUAAUCCGAAGGCAACAUUUAAUAUCUGGGUACCAGGUGGUUUAAGAAAAUAUAAAGUUUCUGAAGAAAAUCUGUUGAAUAUUAACUUUCUGUAACCUUUAAAAUUCUGCUGCCAUUUAUCUGAUAAUUAACGGGAAUAUCUGUUCCUAUAAGCUUUAAAGGAAAUUUCACUCGGCAGCAUGCAACAUAAAAUAUUUUACAGAAUAAAACAGCUGAUAACUGAAACUGAACUGCUUAAAUUCAUUUAUGAAAACAAAGAGUCCACUCACUGAUAGUCUGAGCUCACUGGACCUCUUGAAGGUCCCUCCUGCGGGUCAACUGGUGUCCGGGUGCCUAAUUCAAUGACCAUAAUAGUCUAUUAAUAUAAUAUAGUAUUAAAUUAAAAACUCUACCCCCGGCUCCUAAACGUACGUGCGUGAAUUUAAAGUGAUCCCUAUGCCCAGAAAAGCUUUCCUUCCACGUGGGAUAGUUUAGCGGUAUCUUGGGACUCAAAAAGCGCUAAAGUCCAAAAAGUCAAUCCGAGACCCCAUGGGUCCAUGACCUCAUAAUAUGAUCCGGAAGCCGCUAGAAGGUCCAAUAUGUCUAGGACACAUGUCCCGAGGGUAUUGGUGUCGAUCGGACGGUCGGAUUACUCACGAUCGUGUAAUCGCAUAAUUUCUAAACCCUAGCCCUGGGGUUCGCGAUUUUGGAGUAUCCGGGACUCCGAUUCACAAUCCGUCGAAUCCUACACGUUUCUAAAAUUAUCUAGAACAACAUAUCUGAACUUGAUUACGAUCCAAAGGCUCAACAGUAUUGAACCCGAUAAUCGCACAAUAUAGAAAAUCCGUUCAAGGCUCAAACGGUAUCCAAAUUGAGAUCCGUGAAGUCCUAUGCGCUCAUGACAACCUAAGGAUCGCAUCAGGACACAGUGCCACUGCACCACCCUCGCCCACGCCCCGCCGCAAGCGCCGGCAGUGAUGGGUGUCCAAAGCGAUAACGCAUUGCCGGAAAAUCUCAAAACCAAGGCUCCAAACUCCUAUCCUAGGUAUAACACCAUAUUUGGAACCUCUUUUGUUCUUGGACCAACCCCAAAAACUGACCGGACGUGGCCGAACACAGAGGCCGAAAACCGGCCGAAUUCCAAUUUGAAAACUGAGCUAGCUACGGUGAAAAUCAGUGCAAACCUACCCAACCAUCAGCUAGAGCAUGGAAAAUAGGUAGAAAUUCAUACCUUACUCGAUAAAUUUGGAGGAGAAUUGAAGGAGAACGAACGGUUACAAAACUAUGCAAAACCGGCUCGUUUUUGGACGGAAUCCGGCGACUACAGCGACGGCUUGCAGCGGAGAGUGGUCGGAGCUUGAAGACGGAACCGAGCUGGUUCUAUUGGCGCCGACGGCAGGGGCAGAGGUGGUCGGUGGCGGGAGUUAUGGUGGUUGGAAGGUGACGGCUGGAGGUAGACAGCGGGAGAGGGAGAGAGAAAGAGAGAGAAGCUGAGGUUUUAUCAAAAAUCUGAUUUUUCCAAUUUACCGUUUUGCCAUUCGUGAUAUUUUAAUCGUAUUUUCUUCGUUAAAGCUCCGAUUCGAGCUCACUUCGUGUCUACGAACUCGUUUCGUCGUGCUCUACGCAACGGUGUAUGUGGAAUUGUCAAAUUCCUUUUCGGUCAAAAAGUCAACUUUGAGGUCAUAAUUUAUUCAAACGGCAAAAUUGUCUUUCCUCAUCAUAAUAUACUAAUUAUAAAUGAAUUUUAAGUUUGGGUCAUUACACAGUAGAUACAAAACACUACAAAAAAUAGUUCCAUUAUUUUUUGAAGCAGAAAAUGAUAGUUUAGAAAAGAGAAGAGAAGAAUUCAAGAAUGAAUUUGCAAGAGAGAAACAUAAGACAGAAUUCAAGAGGGUGAAUUCUUGAGUAUUUACAAGGAUAUUAAAGGGUUUAAGCAAAAGGGAGAGAGAAAUUAACACCUAGGGUUUGAGAUGAUAUAGAGCUAAAGGGGUUCUUGUUGUAACCAAAGUUCUUCAUGUUCUUCUAUUGAAAUUUCUCAAGGGGAUCACCAAAGAGGACAUAGGCACGAGGCCGAACCUCUAUUCUUGUGUGUUUGCUUUACUCUUUUCAUGGUGUGUGCGUGUUUUAUUCUCAUGGGUUUGUAUGUGUGUCGUCGCAUAGUCCAUCAACGACAAGAUUUUGGAGUGUUUUCACACAACAAGUGGUUUCAAAGCUACUAUUCGAGACAUGCUCUUAUAGUUUUAAGAGUGUUUGCAAGUGUUGACGAUGACCGACGACAAGAAGGCAGAAAAGAAAAUGAUGCAACCACAAACGGAUAGCGUGAAGCUCGAGGUGAAGAUAUUCACAAGGAAUGAGAAAUUCACGCUAUGACAAAGAAAAAUGAAACAUGACCCAGCCCAGAAAGGUCCAACCAUUAAUAUUAUCUUGGUAGGUGAGGAGAAAAGGCUGGAAACCAUGACAACGGAGGAGAGGGACAUGCUCAGAGAGUUGGCUAGUAGGUCCAUCAAGGUGAUGGAAGCACAACAAAGCAAACACGGGAAAAGCUCAAACGGAUGUUUGAAGGGAAGUCAAAAUCAAACAAACGCUUCAUGAAGGAAGAGCUCCUAAAUCUUCGGAUGAAGGAGAGUGGAAAUCUCUUGGAGCAUCUUUGCACUUAUAAUAGGAGUAUUGUGGACUUACAAAAGGUGGACGUGGCUUAUAGCAUGGAGGAUGAGGCAUUGAUGUUGUUGGCAUCUUUGCCUCCAUCAUAUGAACACUUCCGGACUACACUGAUGAUAAAAAAGAGUACUUUAAAUUUUGAGGAAGUGGUGCAAGACUUGGCGCAUCACAGGUUGGCUCAAAGUUUUGGAGAUAGCUUUCAAGGUGCUCGUAUAUUAACAUGGACCGGAGAGAGGGCCGUUCAAGCAAGCGAAAGGCAAGAAAGGCAAUGGGAGGAAUCCUAAAUUCAGGGACAAUGAAGGGUGCUUCAAGUGUGAGUUUACGGACCAUUGGAAGCGGAUUUUUCUGAUAUAGAAGGAGAAGCAUAACAAGAUGACGAAUGUCGAAAGUUCAAGCGCAACUAGUGAUGAACUUUUGACGAUUACAGAUGAGGAGCGUAACGGGAAAGUCGUGGCAAAUUCUUCAGAUAAGAGUUCUACUUUAGUUUGGAUUUUAAAUUCUAAAUGCUCUUAUCAUGUGUGUUCAAAUAAGAGUGUAUUUGAUACAUAUGAGGAAAGGAAGUGUAGCAAGAUUCUGUUGGGAGACAAAACAAGUUAUGAUGUUUUGAUUGUGAGAACAGUGAGGAUCAAUAUGCAUGACGGUGUUGUUAGCCUUAAUGAUGUAAGGUAUGUACCAACACUAAGAAGUAAUCUUAUUUCCCUUGGCACUUUAGAUAGAGAAACAUAAGUUAGUAAAAAUUAAGCGCCCCUCAACUUUCAUUGAGGGAUCCCUUAAAUAAUUUUAUUUGAGGGACACCCUUUAGAGUACCCUACGAAUUUUUUUUUCAACGAUACAACCUAUCUAUUUUUCAAUUCUUCAUUCAUAGAUCAUCCUUGCAAAACAUCAAUACCAACAAAAUCAAUGAACACGGUGCUUCAAGAAAGUACUUAAAUUUUAAUAAUUUAAUUGAAUAGUCAAAUAAUAUCUGAUUUAAGUGAUUUUUUUGUAGAGAUGAUCUUUGAAUGAAUAUCUACAAAAUAGAUUGGGAUUAGUGAAAUACAAUGCGAAAUGGACUCUACAAGGGUGUCCCUCAAAUAAGUUAUUUGAAGAGUCACUCAACCGAAACUCUGUAUAUGUGUAUAUAUAUAUAUAUAACUCCAGUAUUAACCCCUGAUAUCAUAAACAGAAAUGUAAACAAUGAAAUAAUUACACUGCGUCUCUAAUGUAAUCAUCUAGAUGAAAUGUAUAUAAACCUAACUAACCAAAGAUUAGUUAUAACAGCCAUUAACAAAUUCAAACAAACUGCCAACGACUAUAGCACCUGUCUAGAAGAAUCUGUUGGCUGGCAGCUGCUGAGAUGUACACUGUAUAGCAGCUGCUAGAAGAAAAAUGAAGGGAAAUGUAUGAAGGAAUUUGACUAUAACAGUUCAAUAAUAUCUUACAUAUUUUGUAUUUUAUAAAAGGGAGAUUCACUAUUAUAUCCAACAUAGGAGCCCAAAUUAUAAAAAAAUCUCAUAUGAAAUGGACUUUAGAAACAUACCCAAACCCCAUUUACAACAUAACAAAAAAACUUUUAACUUCUUUUAAAUUACAAAACUAUCAUUGAUUUCUUAAAACAAACCCAACCCCAAAACCUCAUUAAAAAAAGCCCAAAACAAUCAAUAGGGCAUCAAAGUAAUUUAAUAAUCAAAAUUAAAUUCAAUAGGGCCAGUUGUCAUUUUUUGGGUUUGUUUAUAGAAAUUAAAUGGUGUAGGGUUUAUUUAUAGUUUUAGUGCUAAGAAUGGGUAUAUGACUAAAUAUCUCUUUAUAAAAUUAGAAAUGAUAGCGUAAUUAUGUGCAGAAAGGGUCGAAGAACAAUGAAAAAAGAAGCCAGUUGCAAAAAAUUAGAUAUUUAAAAAAAAUUAAAUUCAUCAUGUACCUUGACAUUGAAUUACAAUAUUUACCUACUCAUAGUCUAAAAUAUGGAUAAUAUCGACAAAAUAUCGACGAUAUUAUCGUUUUUUUGGGUCACAGAUAUUUCGGAACUUAUCCAUACACAUAUUGUAUAAAUAUCGAUGUAUAUAAUUUCGCUCACACUUCAGCAAUAUUUUGUCAAAAUAUCACUAUAAUAUUGAAAAUAUCGAUGUAAUGGAAAAAAGGAAAAAAAAAAAACACAAAGCGCACACAGAAAGGGGAUCCGAACCCUUGCCAUUUCACUCCUCCAGCGUCUUAAUCACCAUAUUGCUUAUGUUUUUGUGAUAAUAAGCAAAGGAGAACUUUAUGUGGUACUAAGCCACUCAUAUAUCUUACCAUGCAAUGUAUGAAGUGUAAAAUAUUGUAGUAAAUCAUAAUAUACAAAUGAUUAUGGUGUGUUUCUUUCAUUAGUUAUUACAUAUUUUCUACAUAUACAGUGUUUGUUAGCUCGCUAUAUAAUCAACUUAAAUCAGUUAAACCCAUCAUGCAAUGCAUUUCAUUCCAAUUUUUUGUGAUAAACUAAUAGAUAAUUGACUAAAUAAACAUCCUCCAAAGUUUCAAUAAAAUUUUUCAAGUUUUUCUUACAAUUUCCUUAGUUUUUAUUCAAUAUCAAUAUUCAAUUUUUAUCGAUAUCAAUAAUAUUCCGAUAUUUCCAUCGAAAUUUCCGUAUUUUUAGACUACCGAUAUUUCUAAUACCAUCGAUAUUUUAGACUUUGCCCACUACUACUAGUGUUCAACAUCAUCUAUCCACAAAAACAUCACUUUUAAAUAUUUAUGUAUAAAAUAUCGAGCAUAUCAUGCACGAUCAUUCGAAGAAUUUGUUUGAACAUAUAUAAAUGAAAUGACCCUACAUUUGACAAUGAGGUUUACUUUAACACUUAUAUAAAACGGAAAUAAUAUUAUUUUGUUAUUUUCGAUUAAUUACAAUAUACCAUACGUAAAUAUAUCUAUUACAUAUAGUUUCUUUAAAAAAAAUAUAUAUCUAUUUACAUAUAUAGUUAAGAUUCAGCGAGGACUUCUAAUGUAGUUUAAAGCAUAUACAAUAUCUACGAUGCUGUCGAAAUAUAAUUUUCAUAUAUUUUUUUAAAAGGUAAAAUCACAUUACUGUGCUUCUAUAUUUGAAAAAUGAAAUUUUAAGCAAUUUUCAUAUUAUGUAUAGCUCUUUCAUUUCUAUGUUUUUUUUUUCCCUAUUUCCUUCUGGUUUUUAUUAACUCCUCCCACCUAGCAAACUUUCUACACCCAACAAGAUUUUAGAAACUUAAUAAUUUACUCUCAACACCCAUAAAAUCUUCAAGAACUAACGCAUCAUCAAAUAAACCUAGUUUUACCCUCAACCUUUCCUCCACUUAUUUCUAAACUUCUUCAUGUAACAUGAUUUUUUUGGUGAGUCCUUAUUUAGUUAGGAUUUUGGUUUCUUAUUUAGUUAGAAUUUUGGUUACUUACCAAUUAUUAUUUAGUCCUAUUGUGUCUGCGUGAAUUAGCUAAAGUUGAUUUGGAAGAAAUGCUGUCAUUGUUGUUGCCGUUGUCAUUGUUGCCGUCGUUGAUAUUGUCUUUGCUUUCUUUGCUUUCCGUUGCUAUGGUCAUUGAUGUUGUUGUGACCAUGCCAUUUGCCUUGCCUUGCCUUUACUUUGCCUUUGCUUUGUCUUUGCCUUUCCUUUUCCUUGCUUUACCCUAUUUUUAGAGUUUGGUUUUGCCUUUGCCUUUGUCAUACCUUACCCUAUUUUUAGGGUUUGGGUUUGCCUUACCUAUUGCCGUGCUCAUAGGAUUUCUCUAUUAUGCCUUACCUACUACUGUGCUCAUAGGGUUUCUAUGUUCUGUCUUAUCUACUACCAUACUCACAAGGUGUUUGUGUUUUGUCUUAUUGCCUUGCUCGCAGGGUUUGUGUUUUGUCUUAUCUACUGCCGUGCUCACAUGGUUUAUGUGUUCUGCCUUAUCUACUGUCGUGCUCACAGGGUUUCUAUAUUAUACUUUUAUGUGAUCUUCUAUGUGCUCUAUUUGUUAGGGUUUGUCAGUGCCGUGCUCACAUGUUUUCUGUGUUCUGCCUUAUCUACUACCAUACUCACAAGGUUUGGGUUUUCUCUUGUGUUUCCGCUGCGAUCUUUGCUUUGGUUUGUCAGUUGGUCCACUCAUGGUUGAUGAAAAGAACUUCUCUAUAAUUUGUUUGUCUCAAGUUGGGCAUGUGAAACAUCUUUGUCUCAACUUGAGGCGAAAUGUUGGCGAGUCCUUAUUUAGUUAGGAUUUUGAUUUCUUAUUUAGUUAGAAUUUUGGUUACUUACCAAUUAUUAUUUAGUCCUAUUGUAAUAGUGAUUUAUUUCCCAUUGUAAUUUAGAUAUAUUUUCUAUUUUAUUAAGGAUUAACAUAUCUUUGUAUUUGUAUAAAUACUUUUAUAUUGAAGAAGAAUAAUAAUAUAAGCAUAUGAGCAUAUGUCACAUCCCGGGAUCGACUCCGCCGUAGCACGAUAUUGUCCGCUUUGGGCCCCCUCUCUCUGGCCCUCACGGUUUUACUUCUGGGAGCUCACGAGCAACUUCCCAGUGGGUCACCCAUCCUGGGAUUGCUCUGGCCCCCAACUCGCUUAACUUCGGAGUUCCUACGACUCCGAAGUCAGUGAGCUCCCAAAAGGCCUCGUGCUAGAUGGAUGCGGGUGUGCACAUAUAAGGCACAUCACCUUCUCUCCGUUGGUUGAUGUGGGAUCUAAAAUCCACCCCCCUUAAGGGCCCGAUGUCCUCGUCGGCACACUCGCACCACACGGCAAAGUGGCUCUGAUACCAAAUUGUCACAUCCCGGGAUCGACUCCGCCGUAGCACGAUAUUGUCCGCUUUGGGCCCCCCCUCUCUGGCCCUCACGGUUUUGCUUCUGGGAGCUCACGAGCAAUUUCCUAGUGGGUCACCCAUCCUGGGAUUGCUCUGGCCCCCAACUCGCUUAACUUCGGAGUUCCUACGACUUCGAAGCCAGUGAGCUCCCAAAAGGCCUCGUGCUAGAUGGAUGCGGGUGUGCACAUAUAAGGCACAUCACCUCCUCUCCGUUGGUUGAUAUGGGAUCUUACAGCAUAACUGAAUAUUUAUCUUACUUUAUUUGACAGAUCCAUAUCCUCUCUAAUCGUGGAGGUUGUUCUUAUUUCAAUUGGCUUUUCAUUUUACGCCUCACCUAUCUUUUUCCUUCUUCAUAUCCAUUAAAAGUAUAGCCUGUUGUAUCACUUUCAUAAUUUAAUCUCCGUGGAGUCUGAAAUCUUUUGGCCCUUUGGUUAAAGUGAAAAAUGUCAUUGAUGUCUGUCGCCAGAGCCAUGUGGCAGAAGCACAAGGACGAUUAUGGUUAUGUGGAAUAUAUGCAUGCAGCUGCCCUUGAAUUUUUUUAAUUUUUGUGUGUAAUUCUGUAAUGGACGUAGAUACAAACAAAUUAAUUAGGUCCUCAUUGGCAUUCACACAUGCAAAUUCAAAAUAUGUGUGAGAAUGUGAAGGUAAAAAUGUCUUAUAUUGAAAAAUUAAUAAAUUUUGAAAGAGUUUAUAAGGAGUUAGGUUACUUCCCCUAUUGUCAGUUGAUUUUAAAGUAGAACCUCAACGUGCUGUAAUUAUUUAUGUCCUCGAUUGCCUAAGAUUUCAUGUCCCCAUUCACACAUGUAGAUGGCGAGGACACCUCUUGAUUUAACCUAAUUUUUUUUUAUAUCCACACACACGCAAUCUCAUGCAUUUUAAGUCUAAUAUGCGAACAAUUUAACUAGGUGACGCAAAGCACAUGUAGCCGUCACAUGGGCAAAUUUAACCUGACUUUGAUGCCAAUAAGAAAGUUGAGAAUCCAUUCCAAAAUUAAAUAUUGACUAUAAAAGGAGUAGUUUAACUCUUUAUAAAUCUAUGCAAGAGUUCUUAAGUUUGUAAGUUCAUAAUUCUGUUAGGUUGUUAUUAGUUAGUUAGAUGAGAUAAUCAAUCAAGUAUUUAGUUGAUUAAUUGUGCAUUGACAGAGUAUGAUCUUCAAUAUUAAUGACAAUGAAAUAAUUACACUGAGGUUUAUAUACAUCUCACCUAAGCUGACAUUAGAGGCUAACUAACCAAAGAUUAGUUAUAACAGCGAUCAACAAAUUCUAACAAACUGCUAACGGCUAUAACAGCUGUCUAGAAGAAUCUGUUGGCUGCUGACUUGCUGCUGAGAUAUAUAUAUAUAUAUAUAUAUCCACAAACACUCCCCACCGACUAUAGUGUUCAACGUCAUCGAUCCACAAAAACUUCAUAGUCAAGACAAAUCUAGUAAAGCACCAGUACACAUGUAUCAUGCGCACAACCAUUCCAAGAAUUUGUUUGCACAUAGCAUAUAUAAAUGUAUCAUGCACAACCAUUGUUUUGUUUUCUUCCACUAACAACCUACCAUUCUCAGAGACUAAUACGUACAAAUUGUCAAGACAUGUACAUGUGUAGUUUGAGAGCUCGAAUUAUCCAUCCUACAAUUAUAUAUAUGGCUUUCUUUGUUAUUAGAGUUUGAACCUGAGAUUACUGACUUCUUAAUACUAUACCUUUAUUUCCCUAUUUCCUUCCGGUUAUCAUUAACUCGUCUCACCUAGCAAACUAACUUUAUACACCCAACAAGAUUUUAAAAACUUAACCCAGCAAAUCUUCAAGGACUACGCAUCACCAAAUAAACCUAGUUUUACAUUCAACAUUUCCUCCACUCAUUUCUAAACCUCUUCAUGUAACAUGAUCCAUAUCCUCUGUAAUCGUGGAGGUUGUUCUUAUUUCAUUUUACGCCUCAGCUAUCUUUUUGGCUUCAUAUCCAUUAAAAGAAGGUAAAGUAUAGCAUGUUGUAUCACUUUCAUAAUUUAGUCUCUGUGGAGUCUGAAAUCUGAAGUGAACGCGUGGAACAAAGAGUACGAAAUCUCUUGCCCCUUUGAUUAAAGUGAUGAUAAUGCCAUUGAUGCCACAUGCAAAUAGUUCAAGAUCGGUCAGAAAAGCUAACAUUAUUUCCUUCCAGUUAUGGCAGAGAUACUUCUGUCGCCAGAGCCAUGUGGCAGAAGCACAAGGACGAUUAUGGUUUUGUGGAAGAGAUGCAUUCAUCUGCCCUUGAAUUUUGUAAUGGACGAACAUAUACAAACAAAUUAAUUAGGUCCCCAUUGGCAUUCAAACAUGCAAAUUCCAACUUUGAUUCAAACAUACAAAGCUUGUAAAGUCCUAUCCAAAGCUUGUGAUCACAUGUCCAACUUUUCCUAAUUCGAAGAGGAAAUUAUUAGAUGAGAAAUUCUUUGGUGGGGCUUCGAUCGUUAACCAAGAUUUUUUACUAAAACCAUUUAUACUAUAAGUACAUGUACUUAUUUGUUAAUAUUAUAGGCUCUAGGUUCAUGGUAUUGAGAGUGUUUAGAAAAUGAAAGUUUUUAAGUGUUUAAAAAAUUUUGGGCCUCUCCACUUAUUGUAAAUUAAUUUCGAAUUAGAUGCUCACAUUUUAAAAGAUAGAAUAUCAACUCGUACUAUAGUAAUAUUAUGUUAUCUGAAUCAAUAACCCUAUUUGACGGUUUAUAAUUGUCACAACCAAAUUUUUUUAGAUUUUUUAAAAUUAAAAUUUCGAACUUUUAGAGAUUUAGGAUUGAGUGAAUUUCACUAAACCACAUCAAUUGGAAGCAUAUUUGCCUUUCAGACCAAUAUCCUUGAUUCUUUUGUUAAUGCUUGGUUGCUGGAAUGAAUUGAAAUGAGCACAGAAACGAGAAUGAAAAUAAGAACGGAAGGGAACCAUUUAAGCCUUGAAUAUAAUUUCCAUUUUCAUUGUUUCGUUUGGUUCCUCUAACAACCAUCAUUCUCAGAGGACGUAAAAUUGUCAAGACUGUACAUGUGUGGCACGAGAGCUCGAAUCUCCUCUGACGCUAAUUGUUGUCUAGAUAUGGCUUUGUUUCUCGACCAAAAAGUUUUGCUCUCAAAUAUAAUUCCUCUUCUUCUUUUUUUUUAAUUUUUUUAUUUUUAGUACAAGGGAAGGAUUUCUCACAUACAAAUAAUAUCAUAGGAGUUCGAACCCGAAACAUCUUAUUAGCAAACUUUUAUUUCCAUAUUUUCUGCUGGUUAUUAACUCUUCCCACCUACCUACAGCAAACUGUUGGAAAAUUUAAUAUUAACUAAUAUUGAUUUUCCUAUUUGAAUGGAAAUUAAUAAAAUCCAUUGGGUUAAAGACAUCUUCACAUGGGGGGUGAUAACUCUUCAAACCAAGGGAUGCAUUGUUUGGGGUGACAACUCUUCAGACCAAGGAAUGCAUUGUUUGCCUUUUCAGAUUGGGAUACCUUUUUGGAAAGGGUAUUUCAUCAUCUAUAAAUAGAGCAAUCCUCCUACAGUUUUAUUCAUUCAGUUUAAUUCUCUACAUAUAGACUUUCACAUAUAGAAAGCAUUAGAGUUUUCAUAAAGAGAGGUUCCUGCAUAAUUUUGGUUCAAAGUUCCUUGUGAAUUGCAGUGCUUCUUUCAUAAGGAGGGGAGUCGUUGUAUCCUGGGAGGCGAACGCUAGUGAACCAUAAGCACCAGUGUGGGGCGUAAUUCGUCUUAAGGUCAGAGUGUCCAACACUUGCCUCGACUCAAUUAAGGUUCUUCUAAUGCAAUUAUGCUUUGUAAAAAUCUGUUUUAUGUGUAGUAGUUAUUUUGUUUAUUUUAUAGCAAUUAAGCACUCAUAUUUUCCAACACAAACUUUCUACACCCAACAGGAUUUUAAAAUUUUAAUAAUUUUGCUGUCCACACCCAUCUAGCAAAUCUUGAAGAAGCAUACAUCACCAAAUGAAUAAACCUAGCUAGUUUUAAAACUCAACACUUUCUCCACUCAUUUCUAAAAACCAUAUGAUCCAAAUCCCAUAUCUUUGUUUUGUUUGGCUCUAAUCGUGGUGAGUUAUUGGAUCUUGUCAUCGUUCUUCAUUUGUCUUUUCAUUUUACAGCUCACCGAUAUCUUCAUAUCCUUUUAAGUUUUCCUGUGGCCUGUUGUAUCACUUUCAUAUAACUUAAGUUUCCGGUACCCUUUUGGACGUUUGUUUAAAGUGACAAUGGCAUUAGUGCCGCAUGCGAGGGUUCAAGAUGGUCCAAAAAAUGGUAAAUAUUAUUUCCUUCCAGAUCUGGCAGAGACAUGUCUUCGAUUAAAGUGACAUUGACGUAAGUAGAAACAAACAAAUUAAUUAUUUAAUUAGGUCCCCGUUGGCAUUCACACGUGCUGAAUCCCAACGUGCUGUAUAUAUUUCUAUCCAGUUAUGGCAGAGACAUGUCUAUCACCAGAGCCAUGUGGCAGAAGCACAAGGCGAUUAUGGUUUUGUGGAAGAUAUGCAUGCAGCUGCCGUUGAAUUAUUUAUUUAUUUAUUUAUUUAUUUAAUUCUGUAAUGGACGUACAUACAAACAAAUUCAUUAGGUCCCCAUUGGCAUUCACACAUGCAGAUAAUAUAACGAGAACAGGUGAGGAUUCAUCGAUUGCGGAGUCAGGAUUUCACAUAUAAGAGGCAUCUCACAAAAUAUAUAUCACCAAGUAAAGUGAUUGAUAUCUACCCUUUGUCUUAUUGUUAUUAUUAUUAUUAUUUCUGGUGAUGAAUACUCUUGGUUCAUUUAUCAUUAUCACUAAGCUUAUAUAGUUUAUCAUUAUGCACAUCACAUGAUUCUUGCUUUGGUUUUUGCCAUUCAUAUCUGACAUCAAAUGUCUCCACUUGAUUGGUUUCAAUUUUUUUGUCCGAGUUUCUUGACUAUGAAUAUGAUAUAAGUGCCAGAAGCCAAGGCCUGCUGGGAUUAUCUUAUCUUCGAGGACAUAAAGACGACGAGUAUUUAGAAUUUUAUCUUUUGGUAACAAGAUUUGUAUUUAUUUAUUACUAAACCCAUGUGUUAGAUUAAUUAGAUUCUAAUAACAACCGUAACCAAAACCUAGUGCCACCCCAAAGUUUGGUCAAAUAUUAACUUUAUUAUUGAAGCUCAAGAUUUGGGUUUUGGUUAAGAAAACACAGAGACUGAUUUUUGGAAUUCUUUUUUGGAGCUUGAAUUUGUUAUAGGGCAAAACAAAAAGGGAAAUAUUAGCAACUUUCUCUCUAAUUUUCUUCUUUAAACCUUCUUCAUUUUCCUCAUGAUAUGUGUCAUUCUCCUAACACUUAAAACAAUGUCAUUAAUGCAUUAUACAAGCUAAAUAUAUAUUUUUUUUUUCUAAAUUUACCCUAUUCAAUUAUCCUUUUUUUUUUGACAACUUUCUUACCAUCUUAAUAAAAAGUGUUUUUUUUAAUGUCAAUUAUUUUUUUGAAAGAAAAUGUCUGCUUUUUUAAAACAGAGGAAAUGUAUGUUUUUUUUUUUAACCCAAAAGAAAUGUCAAGUUUCUAUAAAAGACGUCAUUCACAUCCGUAAGCACCCCAAUGGUAUAGAGUUUACAGACUAACUUUUUUUUUCAAAGAAAAUUGUUUGAUUGCAUUUUUUUUAUACUACUAAAUAAACCAAAAUAACCCCUAACAACAUAAGCUUGAGAUCAAAUAAAUAGAAGCAAAAGAAAAAAAAAAUCACCAAAAUCGAAUUUGAUAUGAAAAAAAUAAAUAUAUUACAGUUUAGAUUAACAAAAGAAGAACGAAAGAAUGGUCUGCAUCUGUACUAUACAAAUGGCUAUAAUAUGUUGUUCUACUCUAUUUUUAUUAUUUCUUAAUGGUCGUGAAGAUAAACAUUUAUAACAACCCAAGGCAAAAGGCUUAGAGGAGAGCCAAAACCUGUACAAAUAAGAAGCAAAGACCAGCAAAUUUGUUAAAUUUCACAUACCGACAAACAAAUACCCAUAUAAAUGACUUAUGCAAAGAUGCAGGCCGCAAACAAAUACCCAUUAACCUAAGAAAAUAGUUCCAAAAUAUAUCAAUUUUCAGCACAAUAAUAUUCCAAAAACGAAAAAACCAUAUCUUUGGCCUUAGACUUGGAGCGAGAGAAGCUUAACAAGAAGACUAUUGGCAACAAAGUUGGUUGAUAUAAAUUUUAUUAAUACAGUCAAUCAGUUCAUAGACAGAGAAGCAGAAAAAGAGUGCAUUUUGUGGUUGAGAGUUGAAAAGGCACGGAGAAUUCUUCUGAGCGACAAAGCUAGGAGAAGACGUCCAACAAAAUGACAAGGAGAAGAAGACGCUUUAGCUUCUAUCAAGGGCAAAUAUGGAAAUAUAAUAAUUAUUAUUUUUGUAAUUAAUAGCACUGUUUCAAGUGUAAAGAGAGUAACACACGUCAUGAAAAAAAAAAUCCAAAAAAAAAAAAAUUAAAGAAAAAAUUACUAGUAUUCUCCAAACAAAAAUAUUCGGGUACAAAAGAGAACAAGAGAUAAUCGGCUACGCGGCUUGCACCUGAUCAAAUUCAAAACCGAAAGGACUGAAAACUGGCCUGGCCACCCCCCACCUCCUCUCUCUUAAAAAAGAGACAAUAAAGGGUCAUUUCUCUGCUCCCACUACUCGAAGCUCCCGUGAUAUUUAUGAUGGCCCUUUGUCUGAAAUGUCUGUUUUAGUGUCCCAAAAAAAAACAAAACAAAAUAGACUUAUUAUAUUAUGUACCACCUCUCUAAUAGAGGUCGGUCUUAUUAUAUUGGUAGACUCCACUUUUAUUGGAGAUGUGGUAUACAAUGUGAUAUAAAAAUGUGAUAAGCCUAAUAUUACCCAAAAAAUAUUGUCUGUUUCUGUGAGUAAUUUGACUCGGAGAUAAUAUGGAAAGUAAGUUAGUAGAACGAGAUUCACGUGUCACUACCGUAAAAACUGAAAAUGGCUAUAAAUAGGGCAGGCGUAUUGCAAGUAUGCUGCACCAACAGCGAGCUACGAGAGCCAAUUCUCCUUGUUCAUUAUUAGCCCUGCCCUAGCCUUUGAAAUUCCUCAGCCAACCAUCACCAUGCUAGGCUUAGCAAACAAUGUGGUUAGCAAGGUGGCCUCAGUCGUCACUGGUCACCAUGAGCUUAGCCUGUUUUCCAUGUCUGACAAGAAAAUCUUGGACGAAAUUUAUGCAACUCAUCAUGUCAAUGUUGAUACUUCCUUUGAUGACGAUUCUCUUUUUGGCAUUGUUGAAAACAUCCUCAAGCAUGCAACCCAAACUGUUGACAAAAUUGUGCAGGUACGUUUAUUUUCUUAGUAUGGGAUCUGUUAUGUUAUUAAACUGUCGAUUCUUGAUUAUUAUUAUAGUUAUGUUGUGAUUUGAAUGUGUUACAUAAACUUGUGGGUUGUUGCAGGGUACCCAAGUGCACGUGGAAAACAUAGAGGAGCACACUCCCAAAGCCAGCUUCAGUACACCACUGUGCACACUUAAGUCAAUAGCCAGCGAGGUAACUUCAAAAAAUAAAUGAUUUUUAUAUAUUUCUUGUAACAUUUUUCAUGUAUGUACAUAAUACAUUAGUACGCUUUUUUGUGUUGCAAAUUAACACUAUGAUAAACUUGGUUUUUUUCAGAUGCAAUGCAAACCUCCUAGUGAGGAAGUCGCCCACAAAACUACCCUGGCAAUACUGAACAAGCUGUCAAGCUAUUCAUGGGAAGCAAAGGCAGUGUUGACUCUGGCAGCUUUUGCUAUGGAAUAUGGGGAGUUCUGGCUCCUUGCCCAGCUUCAGGAAUCGCACCGACUUGCCAAAUCAAUUUCAAUCCUGAAGAGAGUCCCUUUCCUCCUCAAGCCAUCAAACCUGCAAAAAAGAAGGCAAGCAGUGCUUGAGCUUAACAACUUGAUCAAGACUACAUUGCAAGUUAUCGAGAUCUUCGAUCAGUUCGAUAAGCUUUCUAGUUAUGACCCAAAAGAUGUGCCGGAGUUGGCAUCAGCAAUGGACCAUAUUCCAGUGGAUGUGUAUUGGGCUACUGUGACUGUUGUUGCUUGUGCAACUAAGGUCACUAUUCUUACCAGUGAUGUGUACGUUCUUCAUCCUCAAUAACUUUGAAAAAUACUUAUUUGCAUGUAUGUUUAGUAUACUUUAUAAUAUGACCAUGGUUGCCUUUGUUUCAGGGAGAAGGAACAUGACCUAGCCCCAUAUGCUCAAAAAAUCCACUUCGUCCUGAACAAGCUUAAGAUUCAGCUGAAAAUUUGCAGAACACAGAUUGGUGUGUAAUUACUGGCACAUCUUUCAUUAGGAAUCAUAUUAACUAUAUGUUGUACCUUGCAAUUAAUGAAAUGCUGAAGAAAAUAUUUAUUGUUUAAUCCAGAGGAGGCGGAGACUUACCGGAAGCUCAAGAAAACCUUUCGAACCCCUACUGAAGUAAAGGAGGUUUUCAAGGCCCUGAUCUUUACCAAGGACAAUGUUCAGCCACUGAUUGAUGGUUCCACUAAACAAACGGUUUGCGCUACUGACCUUAUUCUGAGUCAUGACAUUUUAUAAUUAUACACCACAUCUUUUAUAGAGUGAAACUGUGGUGGCGGGCCAUGAUUUUAAUUUAGUUUGAAGUAUGACAAGUUAGUUACACCAUUCCUAAUUAUUAUACCAGGUUGAGAUCGACAUCCUGAGGAAGAAGAAUAUACUACUGUUCAUUUCAAGCCUCGAAAUCUCCGAUGAUGAUAUUUCUAUCCUCAAACCGAUUUACGAGUCCACUAAGAAAGACAAUCAGCAUAAGAUUGUGUGGGUUCCAAUUGUCGAGCAGUGGACCGAUGACCUGAGAAAGAAGUUUGAGACCCUGAGGCUGAAGAUGCCAUGGUACACAGUGCAGAACCCUGCAACCAUUGCCGGCAUCAGGUUCAUCAAGGAGGAGUGGAACUUCAAGGGUAAGCCUACAUUGGUGGUGAUGAACCCACAAGGAAAGGUCGAACAUUCCAACGCAUUCCACAUGAUUCGGGUUUGGGGAACUCAGGCCUUCCCUUUCACAGAAACAACCGAAAAAGAACUCUCAAAUUCUCAUGGACAUAAAUGGGUUGGCAAUGUAGUCAAAGAGAUUCACCCGACUCUACCCAACAUGGUAAGUUACUUUUAACUAAUAAACCAAAGUGCAUAUAUUAUUUGGAUCUAUGAUGUGCAUUUAAUGAUAAAGCACGCUUUUUUUGUGGUUGAAUUAUUUUGAUGGAACAGAUGAAGGACGAUAAGUACGUUUUCUUCUAUGGAGGCAAAGACAAUGAGUGGAUUAACCAAUUCACAAAGAAAGCAACUGCCUUUGUAAACGACCCCAUCUUCAAGGAAGCAAAGAUUCACAUUGAGCUGUUUUGCGUGGGGAAAGGCAGCAAGGGAGAAGAUGACCACGGCAUCCUCGGGCGCUUCUGGACUGGCAUAGAAAGCUUGUUUCACACCAAGAUUCACAAGGAGCCCGACUCAGUCUCACAAGAAAUCCAGAAGCUGCUUUCUUACAAGAACGAAAGUGGAUGGGCGGUGCUCAGCAAAGGGCAUUCUUUGGUUGUCACUGGUCAUGGUGUCUCAAUCUUGAAGGUCAUAGAGGACUUUGACAAAUGGAAGGACCAUGUGAAAGAGAAGGGCUUUGAGUUUUGCUUCACAACAUACCAUGAGAAGAUUCGUGUUGCAAAUCGUCCUUGCUGCCGCCUUGACAUUCCAGGCUCUACCGGGAAGGUCCCGGAAACAAUGAAAUGUCCCGAUUGCCACCGUAGUAUGGAGACUUUUAUCAGUUACAAGUGCUGCCACAUUGAUGGUCCUAAUGCACACCAUUGAGUUCUGGGUCUCUCUCCUUUUAGUACCACCACUAUGUAAUGGGUUGUUAAUCAAAUAUGUUCCAAGUGUCUAGUACCACUACUAGGCAUUAGAUAUUAUUAUUGCUAGAAUAAAUGGGUAACUCAUGCAUUGUGAUGCGUGGUAGUUUGGUUUCCAAGCCUGUAAUGUUGAGAACUGGUGGCGUUUCUUUUGGUCAGAGUCAUGGUAGUCUACUCUAUGUGAUGUUAAUGUUUUAUUGUUCAAUGUUUGAAUAAUUUCAAUGUACUGUUUUAGAGUGUUUACACACACCCAUUGCAUAUAUUCAUGUACUUGGGUAAUUCUUGUUCAUAAUUAAAUAUGAGGAAAAGCCACUUAAAACCAAAUUUCAACAAUUUUUUUUAAAUAAACAAGAUUAAUUUCAAGCCAUUCCCUAAGCAUUCACCGAUUUUAUGAAGCUGUCAAACUGUUUCCCAAAUUAAUAUACCCACUUCUCACUACUACAAAAAAGCAAAAAGACGACGGUAAAUCACCGUCGUGUAUUUGGUUUUUCAAUGGUCGUGGAAUCCACCGUCAUCUUUUCCCUCAUAAACCACGACGCUAAAUAACCGUCGUUGUUAAACAAUACAACGUCAUCAAAAAAUACAAAACGACGUCUUUGUACUGCAAAAGAUCUAAAAAAAGCAAUCGAUGAUGAUAAUAGACGACCAAUUCUCUAAAAAGACCGUCGUUAAAAAGGGAAAAUAUGACACAUAUUAAGAGAACAAGGCCGCAAGAUAGACAUACAACGACGACAAUAAAAAUACGCCGACGUUAAAUAUAAUUUUCACGACAAUAAAAAAUAUGACGUCUUUAAAUACAUUAGAAGACGACGUUAUUGAUACCUACUACGUCGCACAUAUAAACACAACCGUCGUACAAUUAAUUUUCCACUUCGAUUUUUUGAUAAAAGAUGACGUGGAAAUAGUUGUCAGUGUCAUUAUUUACGACGUAUGUGUUUCUAUAGUAGACGUUGAAAAACUAAACAACGUCAGUUACAAAUAUAUGAGAGUCGUAUUAAAAAAUUUAUACGUCCUAUUUUCAGAAACAAACAACGACCAUAAAUAUUAGACGUUGUUAAAUACAACAACGUCGGAAAACAAUAAAAACAGACGUGUUUAGUCUGCUAAAGUUCUACAACGUCUCUUAUUUACAAAAAACCGUCGUGAAAUAAAUUUUCCACUUCGAUUUUAUCUAAAAAAGAUGACGUGGAAAUAGUUGUCAGUGUCAUUAUUUACGACGUAUACAUUUAUAUAGUCGACGUUGUAUUUAUAUGUAUUCAUUACUCACGACGCACUUAAUAAUAUAGACGACGUUGAACGUCUAAACAACGUCGGUUCCAAAUAAAUGAGAGCCGUAUUACAGAACAUAUAGACGGCGUAGAUUAUGAUGGGAGCCGUAUUACAAAUAACGUCGUUUAAUUGUUAUUAGACGGCGGUUAUAAUGAAUUUCCGUCGGAAUUAAUUUCGUUCCUCUUCGUUUAUAAAAGAACUUGCGACGUGGAAAAUGUAUGAUGACGUCGUAUUUUUUAACGUUCAGAUUACAUAUCUCGUUUUUUAGACGUCGGUAUUAUGGGAUUGGAGUCGUGUUAUUUUGAAUUACAUGGCGGUUCUUAAUCCUUCCCCGACGUGAUAUCCUGAAUAAUUGCUUCACAAUUGCGUCGUGGUUCUUCAUUGUUACGUUGCUUUAAGACGUCGGUAAAUAUGCUGAAUAACUUAUUCACAAUAACGUCGUGUUUUAUUUGAACGUAGAAAGUGAAGAAAUCACAUUACAAUAUAUUACAAAAUUAAUGUCAUACACUGCCAAUUACAUAAGCAUCAUUCAAUCCAUAUAUCUUCACACCCAUCUCGAAUAUUUUGACCGCCUAACUCACCUACCAGUUCAUCAAAUGUGUCAACAUUUGGCAUCCCUCUAGUAAAUGGCUCACACUCAAUUAUCACAUCACCUAAUACUUCAUCACCAAUAACAUCAUUAUAUUCUCUACUAGGCAUUGAUAACACUACCGACCAACCACGAUGCAUCGGGUCGUCAACAAAAAAUAUUUGUUUGACUUGAGAAGCCAAAACAAAUUGGUCAUUCCUAUGUCCAAUUUUACUCAAAUCUACAAGGGUAAAUCCAAGUUCGUCGACUACAAGACCAGAACUAUCUAUCCAAUCACACCUAAAGACUGGGAUUGUAAACUUUUGGUAGUCAAGGUCCCAAAUUUCUUGAAUGACACCAUAGAAACCCAUAUUUGAGAGAAUUGGGUUUUUAUCCUUGGCACUAGCAACUUGCAUGGUAUGUGCAAGUAAAUAAACUCCACUAUUUUGAGUUGUCCGCACAUCAUCUUGUGCCUUGAUAUUGAAUUUAAUACCUUUAAUAAGAUAGCUCCUAUAUAAUGGCACUGACAUGUUUGGACCAGCUGCUAGCCACCUUAAAUUUUCUGAUACGCCAUGAUUGUCUUCCUCAACUUCACUUUGAACCUGCAAAUUAAUCAUAUCUUAAUUCAUCCUAACAUAUAAAUAAGAAGAAAAUUAAAAGAGAAAUACGUUAUUCAACAACAUAUACCUUGAAGCGUAGCCAUUGAAUGAAAGUGCUAUUGUGCUUAUCCUGCAGCCACUUUGUUCUCUUUCUAAAUUUUGGAUAAGCAGUCUUGAUGUGGAUCAUAUGUUGCCUACAUGACACGAAAAAUUCAAGCAUUACGGUCCCAAAUAUAUAAGAUAAACAUAAGAAAUAAUUUUAAAUGGAAACUUAAAGAAUAAAACUCAUACGUACUCGAUAUAAGGUAGGACUUCCUCCGUAUUCUCCAAGACAUAUAGAUGUGCUUGAUUCAACAGGUCCUGAUCAACUACGCUCACUGUGCAACCUGAUAAUGGCUUUGAAACUCCCAUCUUUUGGCUUGAAGGCACUCCAACUGUACUAACAUCAGAUAAAUGCUGAGUACAAAACUCUACCGCUUCUUCAGCUAUAUACCGCUCAGCAAUGCAACCUUCGGGACGAGUACGAUUCUGAACAUACCCCUUCAGCACUUUCAUAUAUCUUUCAAACGGAUACAUCCACCUAAAAUAUACUGGCCCACAUAGACGAACUUCUCUGACAAGAUGUACUACUAGAUGAACCAUGAUAUCAAAGAAUGAAGGGGGAAAGUACUUCUCAAGCAAACACAGAGUAACUACUACAUCUUCUUCCAACUUAUCUAGCUUGGAAACAUCAACAGUCUUUGCACAUAUAGCAUUGAAGAAGAAACACAAACGAGUUAUUGCAUACCUUGCAGGCUUCUCCAAAACAGAACGAAUUGCCACAGGGAGCAAUUGUUGCAUUAAGGUAUGACAAUCAUGUGAUUUAAGGCCAAGAAGUCUUGAAUCUUGUACAGAUACAAGAUUUUUAAUAUUUGAAGAAUAACCUUCAGGGACCUUCAUACCAUAGAAAGAAUUGCAAACCUCUCUCUUCUCUGCUCUUGACAAAUUCCAAGGCCCAGGAGGCAAACGAGUACGUCUUUCUCCAUACUCGGGUUGCAAAUCAGUUUUGACCCCCAUGUUCAAUAAAUCUAAUCGAGCAGCAAUCCCAUCUUUAUUUUUUCCAGGGAUCUCCAGCAAUGUACCAAUGAUACUAUCGCAAACAUUCUUCUCAAUGUGCAUAACAUCUAGGGCAUGCCUCACAGGAAGGUAUUUCCAAUACUCGAGAUCAAAGAAUAUUGAUUUCUUCUUCCAACAAACUCUGUCACCAUUUUCAACCAUAUGCAGCACUUCUUCUCCGGUUAAUGGCUCUGGAGGUAUGCCAUAUUCAGGUUUCCCAUUAAAAGCUGCACGUUGCCUCCUAUAUGGAUGAUUGAUUGGUAACCAUUUUCUAUGCCCAAUGUAACAAAUUUUGUGGCCAUUUUUCAACCUGUGACUAGGUGUAUCAUCGCCGCAUAUUGGACAAGCUUUAUAUCCUUUAACAACACAACCAGAUAAGUUUCCAUAGGCGGGGAAAUCAUUAAUUGUCCACAUUAAUGCAGCUCUGAGUGUAAAGUAUUCUCCAUUAUGUGCAUCAUACACUCCUCUAAUCCCAACCCACAAGGAUUUUAAAUCAUCAAUCAAAGGCUCCAAGUAGACGUCUAUAUCAUUUCCGGGUUGUUUAGGACCGGAAAUCAAUAAGGUUAACAUCAUGAACUUUCGUUUCAUGCACAGCCAUGGAGGGAGAUUAUAUGUAACUAAGAUAACCGGCCAACAACUAUAUCUGCUACUUAGAGAACUGUGGGGAUUAAAUCCAUCAGAUGAAAGAGCCAAUCUCAAGUUUCUCGGCUCAUUACCAAACUCAGGCCAUUUAUCAUCAAGAAGUUUCCAAGACGGGGAAUCCGCCGGAUGAGACAUCUGACCGUCAAUUGAUUUUCUAGCAACAUGCCACCAAGUCAAACUCUUAGCUGUCUCAUGUGAUUGAAACAUCCUUUUAAACCUUGGAAUUGGGGGAAAAUACCACACCACCUUCGCUGGCACACCCUCUUUCAAGAUUGCAUCUUUGCCUUCCUUCCACCUUGAGAUACCACAAGUAGGACAAUUAGUUGAAUCCUCAUACUCCUUCCUAUACAAGAUGCAAUCAUUGGGGCAUGCGUGCAUUUUCUCAUAACUCAGCCCCAAUGCACACAAAGUCUUUUUAGCCUCAUACAUGGAGGUUGGUAUUGUAUUUCCUUCUGGAAGCAAAUCGCCUUGAAGUAUCAAUAAUUCUGUAAAACAGACAUCACUCAUCCCAUGUUUUGCCUUCAAAUUAUACAACUUCACUAAUGCCGAUAACUUCGUGUACUUUCUACAACCAGGGUACACUGGUUGAUCUCCAUCCCCAAUCACAUUGGCAAACUCAUACGGAUCCGAACCAAAAUCACCAAAAUCAUUAUCAUCCAUAUCAAUUUCUUCAGACACAAAACUGUACCUACUAUGGCCAUCAUCUUCUUCAACAUUUCUGCUAGCAUUAGUAGUUGCUUCCCAAGGUUCUCCGUGAAAUGUCCAAUUCUUAUAGCUUUGGUCAAUUCCAUUAAAGUAUAAGUGAUCCCUUAUAAUUCCAACCCCAAACAACUUCAAAUUAACACAUUUAACACAUAGACAACGGAUAUGUGUUGUAGUUAGAAGAUUUUCUACAGCAAAGUUCAAAAAUGCUUCCACCCCAAAUUCAUAUGCCUUCGAUCUUCUAUCCGAGUGCAUCCAUGACUUAUCCAUCUCCGACACUAUAACCUAUUAUCUAUAAUAAAGUGAAAAUACAGGCAAUGACCAUCACUAUAGCAGAUUAUACAAAGAUCUAAUAGCAAGUAAUACAUAACAGAGACGACGGGUUUUAAUCAAAAACAGACGUAUUUGGCAUAUAUAGACGACGGAUUUUCAACAGACGUCGUCUAUUAUACGUAAUACAAACGACGGUUUAUGAAAAAACCGUCGUGUAUAAGUAAUACAAUGACGGUAGUUUAAAAACACCGUCGUGUAAUCGUCGUCGUACGCCUUAAAAUUCGUCGUGUCUCAGUUUAUUUUCAAGAACACAAAACCCAUUAAGAACACAACAUAUAUAUGAAACCAAGCAAGAAACCAACAUAUACAUGAAACCAAGCAUGAAAACAAUAAAUCCAUUCCCAAUUCAACAUAACAUAGGGUGAUUAAAAGAUACGACAAAAUUAAAUCCAUUCCCAAUUCAACAUAACAGAUAAUGUAAUCCAUGAACCCAUUAAACAGAAAAUCCAUGAACCCAUACCUAUAAGCAUUGGUGCACUUUGCACCUUCUCCAGAGCGGAAAAUGACAAGAUCAAAUAAAGGUGUCCUUUUGCUGGAAAUCAUUUGGAAGUUGGUGAUGUGUCUUUUUGUGUUGAUUUCCAGCAAAAGUACACCUUUAUUUGAUCUUGUCAUGAACCCAUUAAACAGAAAAUCCAUGAACCCAUACCUAUAAGCACAUUAUUAACAGAUCGCAAAGCAUAUACCUAAAACCCUUUAACAAAACAACCUAAUAUCAUUCAAUGAAUUUACAAGGGGAAGAUAGGGUUUGUACUUACAGGUUGGACGAGCUCACAGAUUCGACGAGCCUGGAGAGUGCAACUUUUAAUUAGAGCAGAAGUGAGAGAGCGAAAUGUUAUGUCGCGUGAAAUCUGAAAUUUUAGGUUUCAGGGAUCAAAGUAUAAGACUAAGAGCCAAAUCUAAAAAAAUUUAGGUCGCGCGAAAAUUUUUAGAGCGCGCGCGUUAUAAAACGUCGAAAGAAAAACCAAGGCGAAAGUUCUACAAGUACCGACGUAAAUUUAAUAUUCCACGACGGAAACUUCAUUUUUCGGAUUAAGAACGUAAGGCCGUUCAUUUUUCGGAUUAAUUUUAAAUUUAUUUUGAAUUUUUUAUAUAACGACGACUGAAAAACCACGUCGGUGUUAAGAAAUUAAAGACGUUGUAAAUUAUAUAAACCGACUUACAUAUUAAAAUAACGUCGUUUAAAGCGUAAACCAUGUCGUAUGUUUUACUGUACGACGUAAAAUAUGUAUUCCACGACCCAACCACCGUCGUUAAAAAUUAAUACACUAAACCCAUAAAAUUAAAUUAUACAAUUUAAAAAAUUAAGUUUAUAAAAGGUUUUAUGGUUUUAAAGCCUAACAUAUAACAUAGACUACCCAAAAAUUAUACUUUAAAAAUAAACCCCAAUAAAUAACAACCCUAAUCUCUAAACCCUAGACUCUAAACCCUAAACCAUAAAACUAGAAGUGAUUUUAUGACUCAUCAAAACAAUUUUGUUUUGGAUGGUCAUUUUAAAUUUUUGUUAUUCAAAAUGAAUUUUUUCAAGGUUUAUGUGGAAGAAAAUAUAUCAAUGACUUCAUAGGAGUUGACUUUUCAAUUUUCUGAUUUAUUUUAUAUUUAUUUUGAAUAUUUUGAUAUAAAAAUAAUAAAAUAUUCUUACCAUACAACAAACCACGUCGGUGUUAAAUAAAUUGUAGACGUUGUAAAUUGUAAUAGACUACUAAGUCGUUAAAAUGACGUCGUUAAAAUGAGAAACCACGUCGGUGUUAAGAAAUUAAAAACGUUGUAAAUUAUAUAAACCGACUUACAUAUUAAAAUGACGUCGUUUAAAGCGUAAACCAUGUCGUAUGUUUUACUGUACGACGUAAAAUAUGUAUUCCACGACCCAACCACCGUCGUUAAAAAUUAAUACACUAAACCCAUAAAAUUAAAUUAUACAAUUUAAAAAAUUAAGUUUAUAAAAGGUUUUAUGGUUUUAAAGCCUAACAUAUAACAUAGACUACCCAAAAAUUAUACUUUAAAAAUAAACCCCAAUAAAUAACAACCCUAAUCUCUAAACCCUAGACUCUAAACCCUAAACCAUAAAACUAGAAGUGAUUUUAUGACUCAUCAAAACAAUUUUGUUUUGGAUGGUCAUUUUAAAUUUUUGUUAUUCAAAAUGAAUUUUUUCAAGGUUUAUGUGGAAGAAAAUAUAUCAAUGACUUCAUAGGAGUUGACUUUUCAAUUUUCUGAUUUAUUUUAUAUUUAUUUUGAAUAUUUUGAUAUAAAAAUAAUAAAAUAUUCUUACCAUACAACAAACCACGUCGGUGUUAAAUAAAUUGUAGACGUUGUAAAUUGUAAUAGACUACUAAGUCGUUAAAAUGACGUCGUUAAAAUGAGAAACCAUGGCGGCUAUUUAACUAUACGACGUAAAAUAUAUAUUUUACGACUUAACCGCAGUCGUUACAUAAACGUCGUCGAUUAUACCCUGAACCCUUAAGAAAUUGAAGAUAUUGUAAACCAUUAACGACUCAAUUGUUCAAAGAACGUCGUCUAACUAUUUUUUUUACGUCGUAUUUGUUUAAAACACGCAACAACAAAAUACGACGGUUAUUGACUUUAUUAGGUCGUUGGAAAAGUAUUACACGUCGGUUAAGCAAUUUGUAUGUUUGUUUUUUUUUUAAUUUAAGAAAACCUCAACAAAUUUUUACAUUACAUAUUAUAGAGAAAAUUUGUACAUUAUACAUAAAUAUCAAGUGUUCAAUAAUUGCCCUGUUUAAUAAUUUGGAAAACAAACUCUGCCCAUUCAUUCCGGACUUCAUCAAUGGCUUCUUGGGGGUAUGAAGCUUCCUGGUUUCCCUUGGCAUACUGCAUAAACAAUGACUAUUAGGGUUUAUAAAUAAAAAGAAAUUCAAUCACAGACGACGAUAUUUUUCAUAACCGACGUAGUAUAUCCAUUCAACGACGUUAAUUUUACAUGACCGUCGUUGAUAAUACAAAAAACGACGUGAAAUGUAUGAAGGUAAUUUCUUCUUACCUUAUUCUCAAACCCCAAGGAAGGAUCCAUGAUGAUGUCCCUCAUGAAGCGCAUUACAUAAUACCCGCAUUCGACAUUGCUGGGUUGCUUUGGUGUGCCUGAGAGAGUUUUCCAAAUUACAUUUUUACGUCCUGCUCGGGCUAUGUGGGUAUUAUAUAUUUUUAAAGCACUGUUCACGAUGUUUUUGGCCUCUUCAUCGACCACACGAUUUCCUGGCAGAGGAUCCAGAAAAUAGACGGUUUCUCUCUUUGCUCUUACAAUCAGCAAAAUCCAAUGACGGCUGCACAAAAUUAAUAUAAAAACGACGGUUAUUUACAAAAACGACGUAUUAUAGUAUUUCACACGACGAAAUAAAGUAGAUAACGACGACAUUAUAUAUUUAUCACGACGAUAAAUAAAUACCGACGUGGUUAGUAGUUUCAAACGACUAAAUAAAAUAAAACACCGACGUGGUUAGUUUAUAAGCUGUCAUUUAUUGAAAAUCAUAAAAACAAAAUCCUAAGGAGACUAACCCUGGAUUGUAAGGCAUCAUGAAAAUCUGUUCACCGUCUGUCUUCUGAAGUCGAGCUGCUACGAGUCGUGAUCUUUCAGUUAUUGUGCCAGAGUUGGCACUAACUGUAGCAGGGUCGAUAAAGCCAACCAUACUGCACAUAUUGGCUUUUUUCAAAACAUCGUGUAAGUACCUAAACAAAUAAAAUAAUAUAAACAAGUCAGCACACAAAACACGACGGUUAUGUAUAAAAAAACGACGUAUUAUAAUAUUUCACACGACGUACUGAAAUAGAUGAGGACGUUAUAAUAUAUUUAUCACGACGGUUGUUAGUUAAGACGACGUGGUUAGUUAGUUAAGACGACGCAAUAUAUAAACCAACGAGUUAUUAUUUUAGAAGUACAAACCUCAUAUAUACAGCCAAUACAGUAGCUCCAAUUUCUUCCAUGCCUGCAAAUUGUGUAAUAUCUUCAGGCAGGAGGAAGGUAUCGCGCUCACCACCAAACACCUCCUUAUCAAUUGUAAAUUGGACUGUCUUAUCCUCAGGCAGGAGUGUCGUUUCCACAAAACGACAAAGGGUUUUUAAAGAAGAUGGCGCCUCCAUUUUUGAAUAAGCACCAACUUCAAUAACCUGUUUAAAGAAAUAAAAAAAAUGACGUGGUAAUUCAAUAAAGACGACGGUUUAAGUAAUAAAACGUCGUCUUAAAAGUAUUUAAACGACGGUGAAAAAACUGUCGUGGUAAUUCAAUAAAGACGACGGUUUUAUGAAUAAAGCGUCGUCUGAAACCAUUUAAACGACGGUGCAAAAACCGUCGUUUAAAUAUUUUAUUACGUCUUAAAAAAAUUCCGCCGUCUAAGUUUUAAACAAACGACGGAUUAAAUAAAAAUAUCGACGUCUGAAAUUUUGAAAAACAAAUAAAAAAGGCAAAGUUAUGUGAACAUACCUUGUCGUCAUGCUUUUCUUCAUCUUCUUUCUCCUUUUCUUCUUCCUUCUCUUCAUCUCUUUUUUCUUCUUCCUUCUCUUCAUCUGGCUGAUGUUUCCCCAUUUUGGCAGUAUCAUCCUCCAAAUGUAGGGAUCUCACAUCACCUCCAGAGCAGCUAGCUUUGUCAGACAUUGGAUUUUUGGGGCUUUGGCUAAUUCUUGGUUUAAGCAUGCUUGGAUCAAAAUUGGGAAUUAAUUGGGAAAGCUGACUCAGGAAAUGCUCCCUCUCAGCCUCUACCAAUUGUUUUGUCCUAGCCUCCAUCCUUAAGGCCUCUUCCCUUGCCUUAGCCUCCAUCUUUUUAGUCUCUUCUUGAAGGAGAACUCUUAAACUGUCCUUCAAACGGUCGUCAAAGCUCACCCUCUGUGGUUUGGGCAAAUUGAAAUAUUGCCUUGGGGAAACACCAGCACCAACUCCCCUCACCCUGCCUGGAUGCUCGGGGCCCAAAGCCAUGGUCAGCACAUCAUUGCUGCCAUCUACUCUGACUUUGCCUUCCGAGACUUGUUUCUGCAAUUCAUCCUAAAACAAAGAUAAACAAAAAAACACACGACGGUUAUUUAUGUACAAACGACGUAUUAUAUAAUUUCACACGACGCAAUAACGUAUAAACCGACGUUAUUAUAACUUAUCACGACGGUAGUUAUACCGACGUGGUUAUUUAUUUAAAACGACGAAAUGAAUAAACAACCGACGUCUUAUGCUAUAAUUAAAGAUAACAGAGUAGUGAUUCCUAUUUAGACCGUUAACGACGUUUUUAAAAAAUUUUCGACGUGGUAAUAUCAUUCACACGACGCGAAAAUGAACCACCGACGUCUUAUGCUGUAAUUACAGAAAACAUAGUAGUGAUUCCUAUUUAGACCUUUAACGACGUUUUUAAAAACUUUUCGACGUGGUAAUAUCAUUCACACGACGAAAAAUAUAACAUACGACGUAAUAAGAAUAAUUCACAGUUUAAUAAAAAUUUAAAACAGAGUGAUAGUAGGCUUACAAUUAAUUUUGCUUUCUCUGCCACCUUUGGAUCAGGGAUGUUACCAUGUUUGUCCUGUCUAGCUCUCUUCCAUAAGGUAGAUCGAUCAAUUUCUACCCCAGGCAUGGUUUCCUCCAAUUGAUCCUCCAAUCCAGCAUAUCCUUUUCGAGACAAUCGAUGAUUGUACUCGAGUUUCUCCCUAAUCUGUGCAUGUUGAGAAUGCACAGACUCAAAAUCUUUGGAUAGCCUUGAAGCUACAAAGGCAUCCCAUUGUGCUUUCUCUAUGAAUUUAUAUGUUUCAGGGGGUUGGCUUAAUUUCUCCCUGUCAUUGGUGUAUGGAAGGAUAUAAUGCCUCGUUAGUGUAGACUUGAAAUCCUUCCAUUUCUUGGAAGCAGAAGCUAAAACAGAGGUCUUGCCCCCUUGGCCUACGACAAAAGCCAUGUCAACUGCUUCCCAAAUCUGCUCCUUUAUAUCCUUGGGGAUUUGGGACCAUUUCUUGUCCACAAGUGGGAUCCUGGAGCGUGCCAACACACCAAUAUACGACUGCAUCUCAAUAUGUGCUUGGCCAACACCUUUCCCCCUUUUAUUGUACUCAACAAUUGGCCUCAGUUUCUGAAGCUUUCUCUUCACAACACGAGGCAUUGUGCUCAUACCUCGACCAGUCUUUGAAUCAUCUGAGAUUGUUGUCUGGCUGGUUUGUUCUAUCUCAGCAGAUGAUGAAGCAAACUUCAUCUUCUUCGAAGACUUCAUCUCCUUCGAAGACUUAUCUUGAGGAGCUAUCAUUCCAAGCUUCUUGGAGCCAGAAUCCUUAGUUUGUUGUUGAGAAACCAUUUUAACAGACAAAACUGCAAGUGAAAAUAUUUCAGGAAAACAUUAAGAACACAAACGACGGUAUUAAAAAAAUACGACGUAUGAUAUGAUUUUAGACGACGCAAUGAAAUAAUCUCAGACGUAAUAAAUGUUUAAAACCAUUAUUUAUAUAACGUCGUGGUAAAUAUGUUCACACGACGUCAAUAGUAAUACACCGUCGUGGUAAAACUAUUAUUUAUAUAACGUCGUGGUAUUUAUGUUCAUACGACGUCAAUAGUAAUACACCGUCGUGGUAUUAACAUUCACACGACGUAAAACAAUAAGAUAUUUUUCGUCUAUAUUAGAUACCAACCCUAGUUUCUUUUUCUUUAUAUUUUAUCAAAUAAGGGAAAAACAAAAACCAUUGUUCAGAGAAAUCAAACCUGCAAUUAAACAAGCAUAUAAAAAAAGACUAUUAUUUUAAAAACAACUUUGUCAAUUUUCAGACGACGCUAGAACAACUGACGAACCGUCGUGGUCUACCGUCGUCUUAUUUAGUUGAGGUAGUUGUCUUCAAAGUUGGAAACUUUCCCUCUUUGUCUGUAUAUUUUAUCAAACUUGGAAAGAAGUAAAAUGAUUUUGGCCAGAAAAAAGGUAAAAAGAUUUUUCAAACAAAAAACGUAUGAGCAUGCAAAACAGUAACCAAAAUAGUGAAAAUGAAAGCUUACCUUUUGCGUGCAAUGAAAGCAAGAGGAAGAUGAUCGAUGUUUAAGUUCAGAGACGACGAAGAAGACGAGAGGAAGACGAUGAGAAACUCUGACAAUGCUCUGACAAGGAAAAAAGACGAAAAGGUUUCUCUGGGAGAUUGAAAUUUUUAAUCGGGUUUGGAAACAGUGCAUGUGUAAGUCGAAAAGUUGCUUACAUAUAAAACCAUUUCAAAAAAAUAAUACGGCGGUUACAUUUAACUACGUCGUUUUUAACUAAAACGACGCAAUAUUUUUCAUUCGACGUGGAAUCAUUUCAUUUAACGUCGUUAGGUUUAAUAUAACCGACGUGGAUUUUAAUUUUUAAAUUAUGAAUAGAAUUUUUUUUCCCGUGACCUUUCAGUUUAUUUUUCAAUUACAGUGCGUUAUAAAUAGAGUUUUUUUUCCGGAGGAAAUUUAAAACGAAGGAAAUUAAUAUUCUGCAAUAUGUAAAGUUUCUUUUUUGGAUGACAGAUUUAAAUAAAAUAAGAAUAUAAAAACAACAAAUGUGUAAGUCAAGUAGACGAAAAGUUGCUUACAUAUAAAACCAUUUCAAAAAAAUAAUAUGGCGGUUACAUAUAACUACGACGUAUAAAUUACAAAAUACGACGGUACAUUUAACUUCGGACGUGGUAAAUAAAUACGACAGUAGUUUGUAGGUACCGUCGUAGUAAACUCAAAAAUUAAAGUACAUAAGUAAUAACUCGCGUCAUGGUAUAUUAUUUAACACGUCGUUUUUAUUAAUUUACCGACGUGGAUUUCUGUAAUAUACGUCGAUCAUACCGACGUUGAUUUUACAAUUUAAACGGCGGUUUGUUUGUAAGGACCGCCGUUGGUUUUAAAAAUUUAUUCUAUAAAUUUGUCGCUUUCAUUCAUUUUCGGUUUACAUUUAAGGUUCCAAGUUCUUCCUCUCUCAGUCUCUCAUGUCUCAAAGAUAAUAAUUUGGAUGUUUUCUCAAAGAGAAAUUGAGCUUACUCGCAUCAAAUAUAUGUCCACAAGAAGAAGCUUGUCAACUAGCCUUCUCACUUCCUUGAUCAAGCCUGAUAGGACACUUAGUGCUUCUGAAUACUCCUUGCUUUCCAUCAAAAGAGAUGCAAGCCUGGCCUCCACUCGCUGUCGAAGGAAAGUUCGCUUCUCAGGGAAAUCUGAAGAUCAGAUGUGCCUGAUCCUCUGCUUGAUUUUCUUGCCUAAGAAGAUCCGUCGGAUUUAUUGUGAUAGCCUCUUCCUUUAUCCGUAGAGCUUCAGAAGAAGAAGAUGGGUUUCAAGAAUGCGAUAAAGAAUAGAAAUGGCUUCAGAUGGCCUCUAAAGCAUGAGCAAUUGAAUCAGUAGUUUCUGGGAGAUAUGAUGAAGACAUUGUCAAUGCUUUGAACUACACAAGUCCUGCAGAAAGAUAUGUUAAAGAAACUGAAACAACGGCGGUUUUCUGUUCUACCGUCGUCUUUUCUCGUCGUCUAUAUUAAGUUACGAUGGCGGUAGAUUUAUAAUUACCGACGUAGAUUAUUUUGUUAAACGUCGUUAAGUGUACUACAACCGACGUGGAUUUUAAUUUUAAAUUAUAAAUGGAGUUUUUUUUCCCGUAUUCUUUCAGUUUUAGUUUUCAAUUCCAAAGCGUGAUAAAUAGAUUUUUCUUUCCCGAGGAAAUUUAAAAUGAGGGAAAUUAAUGUUCUAGAAUUUGUAAACUAACACGACGCAAUAUUUGCAAAUCUGUGUCAUCUGUUAAGAUUAUGAUGUGGAACAGAGUUCCAUCUGGUAAGAUUUCGUAACCCUUGGGAUCUCAGACAAAACUGAUUAUGUCGGCGGUGUUCUAUAUAAACCGUCGUGGUUAUUUCAAUUCUUGUCAUUAAGUAGAUCUACCGACGUAGGAUAAGAAAAUCAAAGAAAAAAAUUGUUAACAAAAAUUCUUAUUAAGACGACCGUUAAAAUUAAAGGUACGACGUAUAAAAUGAAUAAAUACGACGAUAAAUUUUAUUGUACGAUUUAAAGAUAACGUAGUAGAACUAUACGAGAAUGACGUCGAUAUAUUUAUAUUUUCCGUCGUUGUAAAUUAAUUUAAUACGGCGAUAUUUUGUAUUUUAAAGCCGUGGAUUUGUUUGUAAUUAUACGGCGUCUUAUACGAAAACCUCGUCGUGUUAUUUUAUGAGUAAAAACGGCAGUUUUUAUUGAAAUCGUCGUCUUUACUUUCUACGUCGGUCGAUUCAUAACUUCUGCCGUUCUUUGUUGGCAUUGAUUUUACACUGAGGAAAUCUGUUUCAAAUAGACGUCGGUUGUUUAAUUAUGUACGUCGUUGUUUUUGAACAGCCAUUUGAAACUCCAUUUUUUAGUUGUCUAAGGUUGUAUUACACGACGGUGUUUUUAGAACCGUCGUCUUUUUAUAAACCACGACGGUUUUCACUUAGACCGUCGUUGUUUUCUGGUCGUCUUUUUCACUUUUUGUAGUAGUGUCUCAUUGUAUUUUAAUGAUUCCAAUGUAUAUUUUUUAGGUAGUCCCUCGAAACGAGAUGCUUUAAUGAUUUCUAAUUUGUUCCACUUUUUUGAAAUAAUGAUAUUUGAAUAAAGACUUAAAAUAUAGAUGGUUUGAAUCGUUGAGGUAGAAACUUAAAUAGUUUGUUAGAGAUAAAGAUUCCCCUAACUACUGUUUUGUAAGAGAGUUAAGCGCUCUCAUAUGAAAAAAACUGAAUCUGUUGUAAUAUUAACUCAACAAAGCUAAGAAAACAUGAGAAGCAAAUUUUCAUCCUUUUAGUUUUUAUAGCAAAUUUGUUGAGAGUAUUUAUUCCGCGUUGAAAAUGGAAAACUUGGCAUAACAUUUUAAUGUUGUGUUAGUAUGAAAUUGUGUUGGCAUUUCCUAGAACUUAAUUAGUAUUGGAUUGGAAGUGUCAAUUAGUUGUAAGGUUGAAGCAAAAUUACUGUUUCCGGUUUCCAGAAACUAUAGGAUGAAAACAGCAAUUUUGCUUUAACCUAUGAGUCAUUUGAUCUGAAGGGUAAGACAUCAUUUUUCAUGUAUUCAUGCUAUGAAGGUUUUUUUUAAUGUCUGAUAUGAUUUUAAUUCAUGAUCUUCCUUGAUUUUAGAUCAGUUAGAAUUCAUUUAGGAGUUUUUCUUUUUGGGAAAGUUUUGACCCAAAUCAAUUUGAUUUUCCUACUUUCCUGUUUUAACAUUCCCUUGAUUUUCUAACUUGUUUUGGUUGCUUAGAAAUCUACUUAUCAAUUAUAUCAUAAUAUCAAGGAGUCAAGAUGCUAUUAAUAGUUGACCUAAAUAUAGAAGGAUUCCUUUGAUAUUGUGAUUGGUCAAAAUCUUCUUUCUUGAGCAUCUUUCCUGAGUGCUUGGUUUACACAUGAUUUUCAUUUAGAAUAGGAAAUAUUCUAUUGUGAUUUUUGCCAAGCCUUGAAGAGUGGAGAUUUGGUUUAAAAUAUAAGUUCCUUCCUGUGAAGAAAACUUCUAUAAAAACAAGGUUUUAGGUUUUCUUUUAGAUAGCUUUCGAACAAUAAUUUUGUGUGCUUAAACGUUUAAGAAAACUGCGUUUUUAUUUAAGAUAAAUCAUCAAGUGGUUCAUGUUUACUUGGUGAUUUAUCAAACACUUUUAUCAUUCACAUUGCAUUCAUUUGCAUGUACGGUGACUCAUAUGGUUAAGGGCACCAAGACCGUUGUGAUGGUUUUUCUCUGGUGAGCUUAAAUCAAUCGUCACCAUUAUCAGAUUCAACAUAAAGAGAGUUGGAAGAACUCCGGCGAGCUUGAAGUAAUCGUAACAAGUAUUGCGUUUAACAUAAGGAGUGUCGAAUAUCAUCCAGUAGCAAAAGUUGAGUUACAAAGAAGUCAGUAAACAUUAUCUAGAAUGUGUCUAGGUUAAGUGUGUGAGUACUUCUUGUAAUCAUUGUUCUAUAGUGGAUUUGCCUUGGACUAUCAGGUUCCGUGAAUUCUCCCCAGAGAUGGAAUUUUACCACAUAAAAUAUUUUCUGUGUACUUUCUGUUUUUACGUUAUAAACUAUAGAUGAUUGAUACAUCGUAUCAAUCCCUUUGGAGUGUUUUAUUUGUAUUACCGUAUUACUCUUGACUACUCAAAACACAGACUUUACUCUUUUAGUAUUUUAAGUCAUCAUACAGGUAUUUUCAAUUGGCAUUAGAGCUAGUCGCUAGACACACUUAGCGAGAUUCGAAAUAUUGUAGGAUGGAUCGUGCUAUGUUAAGACAAUUCAAGAGUUUUCCUAAGAAUCGAAACUCUAAAGAUCAAGACUCGCAAAACAACUCAGGUAUAAAUUUUGGGAAAAUUAGAAAUAUUUAUAAUACUGACGUUGUUUCUAAAUCUUGCAGGUCAAAUGACAAGAAACAUUCAAAAGGAAAAGUCAAAUGCUUCGAAUGUGGAGGUUAUGGUCACAUAUCUUCUGAAUGUGCUAACACUUUGAAGAAGCAAAAGGAUGGGAAGAACAAAGCAUCGAAUACAACUUGGAAUGAUAGUGAAUCGGAAUACGAGAAUGAUGAAAAGACGGUUGCACUCAUAACCACAGUUAGCUUGAAUGAAUCACAUGAGGAUGAUGAUAGUGAAGAUUGAAAAUUGAAUUUAUCAUGAAGAAAUACGAUGACUUGCUCGUUGUCUCACUAAAACUCAAUAAACAAAAUGUCAAACUCGUCAAAUUUGUUGCUGAGUUUAAGUUGGAAAAUAGCAGGAUUGCAAACGAGUUUCAAUUCCUUGAAGCAUAUUUUGAAAAGGUAAGUGCAAAUUUUCAUCCUUUUAUGUUUUUAUAGUGAUUUUGUUGAGAAUACUUAUCCAGUGUUGAAAAUUGAAAACUUAGCAUAACAGUUUAAUGUUGUUUUUUGUUUUGCAUAAACUCCCAUCAAUUUGCCCCCAAAAAAAAAAAAAAAACUCCCGACAAAUGUGUGGUAUUCAAGCUACCUCUCAUUUCCAAACUUCCAUCAUCUAUUAUUAUCGAAACCUUAUCCUAUAUCCUCAUCCUAAGCUUUUAGUUGAGUUGGUGUGAAUGAUCAUGAUGAAUUUUCGUUUCAGUUUUACGUACAGCACGCCAUUAAAGUGAUUGAUUGAUUUUAUUUUUUUGUCAUAAAAAAAACUUUAAUCAUGUUGAGGUGAGGUCCUUCCAGUUUUGGUAGAGGCCAGAGCCAUGUGGCACAAGCACAAGAGAGGUGAUAGAUUUGGGGAAUAUACGAACAAAGAAGUCCUGUUCUAUCAGUCCUCAUUCACAAUAUUGAGGACACGUUUUCGAUUGUUUUUCUUUUUAAUUUUUCAAUAGCGGGAAAAGCAUGAAGGUGAAGAAAUGGAGACAUAAAUUUGAAAUUGAUAGUCGUGCUCGUGGUCCAGACAGUCGUACGAUGGAAUUCAGAAAUAGCAAUCUGCAAAAACACAUUGUGAACAAUGUUGCAAGGAAAGUCUUCCCACUCGGGUCAUUGGCCCCAUGUCUCACAAUGGAAUUAAAAUAUAUAAACCAUUCUUAUAUUUUAUUUUUUUAAACUGACAGGCCAUCAUUCUUAAAUAUAUAUUUGUUUGUUGAAAUGGAAAUAAGAAUGGGAAUAAAGAUGGAACGGAAUCAAGUCAUAAUUUAAUGGAACUAAUUUCAUUGUUUGGUUUGCAAAUUGGACGAUGUGGAUUGGAUAUAUAUAUAUAUAUAUAUAUAUAUAUAUUUAUAUAGUGAGUUUCCAUUGAAAAAUCUUUCAAAUAAGUUCUUGAAAUAUCGUAUUUAUUGAUUUUGUAGAACACAAUUAGAUAUCUAAACGGUUUCCGAUUUGUCUAAUUUUUGCAAGAAUGAUCUUUGAAUAAAAGGUUGACACAAUUAGAUGUCCAAUUUUCAGAGACAUAAGGUUUCCUCUAUUUUAUCUUUGUUUUGUAAUGAUUUUCCUCUACCCAUCACAGGCAGAUGCGUCUAGGCAUCAUAUCUCCAUAUUCGUUUUGGUGUCGGAUCUUUACCAUCAUCACUUUAUCAGUUUCUUUAUGUUUGGAAUAAGUCUCAGAGACUUUUUAGGUUUUGUGUUGUUUUCACCUCACUUUCUGUAAGAGUUUUUCAUUUAUCUUUUGUGAGAGUUUUCCACCUUUCAUUUGUGAGUUUAAUUUGUAUUGUUAUGGUUUGAUUUUUUCAAACUUUAUCUAUUUUUUAUUAUUCUGAGUUUGCUGCCUUAAUUGGGAUACCUAUUUCAGAGCUUCUUCAAUCAUGCGUGAUCGUUAGUAAAUGAGCCUUAAAUUGUCUUAAUUUUGAUGUUAGAUCCUUCAAUUAUUGUAAUAAUCCUUUGUAGUUAGUUUAUAUUGGUCUUUUGUGGUUAGUGACUUUUGACUGAAUUAUAAAUACAAUCCUAGAAUUAUAAAAAAAAAAAAAAAGUUUUCUAAACGUGUAGCACGUGAGCCCGAAUCCCAUCUAUCAACAAUUAAAGUGAAGAUGGCUUUAUUUGUCUUCUGGUCUCGUUCAGUAGGGCCAUCUGUUGGCGUGACUUGUGGAUAUUGACUUACUUUCCUUACACACCAAGAAUUCCUAUUAUAAUUGUAAUUGAUUUACUUUAAUUUCUGAUUUCCUACUGCAAAUAGAUUUAGGAAUUUAUUAUUUACUUGCCUAUUUAGGUUUCGUUGUAUUAUAAAUAUGACCUCCUACAAGGAGAAGAAUACACAGAAAAUUCCCACAAACAAAUAUUCUCUCAAUAGUUUUUCAUAUUUUAGCAUGGUAUCAGAGCCAGGUUCGAUCUAGGGACUUGUGCUUGUGUUCUUCUUGAAAUUUAAGUGCUCUUCUCCCCCCUUAAGAGGGGGGAGGGGGAGUGAAAGGGAUAUGUUUAUUGACCUAUCCCAAUUACCUUGACAUAUUUCCAUGAAGAUGUUGCUUAUUUCUUGACUCCGACGACCCCUUCUCUUCAAGGGGAGAGGAGGAUUGAAGAGAAGUUGUGUAUGAGUGAAUUAGCUAAAGUUUAUAUGGAAGAAUUUAUUGUUGCCAUUGUCUCUACUGCCGUGCUCAUGGGGUUUUGGUGUUCUGCCUUACCUAUUGCCGUGCUCACAGGGUUUCUGUGUUCUGCCUUACCAAUUGCUGUGCUCACACAGUUUCUGUGUUCUGCCUUACCUACUGCCGUGCUCACAGGGUUUCUGUGUUCUGCCUUAUCUACAGCCGUGCUCACAGGAUUUCUGUGUUUUGCUAUGUGCCCUAUUUUUUAGGGUUUGCUCUUGUGUUUCCGCUGUAAACUUUGUUUUAGUUUGUCACUUGUUUCACUCGUGGUUGACUAAAAGAUCUUCUCUACAAUUGUUACUUCUCAAGUAUGGUGUUCUGUGACUCGCUUGUCAAGUUGAGCGUGCGAAAUAUCUUUGCCCAACUUGAGGGGAAGUGUUGGCGAGUCCUCACUUAGUUAGAAUUUUGGUUACUUACCAAUUAUAUUUUGUCCUAUUGUAAUAGAGAUUAUUUUAUUUAGUGUUAUGGGGGUUGAUGAUUUUUUCAACCCUCAUGGAGGUAGCACCACCGACUCAUUCUCUCAUUCUCCACCAACCAUCGUUGAGUUGAGUGCCCAGAUGGCUCCGCUCCUACAGAUGCAGACUUUGACCCCGAACCCGAUCCAGAAUCAGGAUCCUCUUUUGACGACCCCGACCCCGACCCCGACCUCGACUAUGAUGACGACCACCCAGACCCCGACCCCGACUAUGACGACGACGACCCCGACCCCGACCCCGACCCCAACCCCGACUCCGAAGACGACCCCGACCCCCACUCCGAUGAUGACCCCAACCCCGAAUUUGUCUCUGAUUCAGACCUGAUCCCGAUUUCGACUCCGACUCCGGCCUUGACUCAGGCUCAGAUUCCGAUCCUAAUUCCUACUCAACCUGUAUCCUAUGCAUCUUCCGCUGCACAUAUUAUGACUUCUCGACUAACGACCCCGACAUAUGGACCAGAUUGCGCAUUUUGUGAAAUCCGAGGAUCAAUUGGCGGAUAUUUUGACAAAGGCGAUUUCCAGUAAAGCAUUCCACAAUUCACUAGAUCAGUUGGGCAUUGGCGACAUCUAUGCACCAACUGAGGGGGAGUGUUGGCGUGACUUGUGGAUAUUGACUUACUUUCCUUACACACCAAGAAUUCCUAUUAUAAUUGUAAUUGAUUUACUUUAAUUCCUGAUUUCCUACUGCAAAUAGAUUUAGGAAUUUAUUAUUUACUUGCCUAUUCAGGUUUCGUUGUAUUAUAAAUAUGACCUCCUACAAGGAGAAGAAUACACAGAAAAUUCCCACAAACAAAUAUUCUCUCAUAGUUUUAAUAUUUUAGCACCAUCUACUGUCUUCACAAGGGUGCAAGAGUCAAUAAAAUGAAGAUGCCAAUUUUUUCUACACUUUUUCCUCUUUUUAUGGAAAAAGAAAAUCCAACUUCUUUUAGCGUAUUAAUCUUCCAAAAGAGAAGACAAAUGGAUUGCUUGAAGAACUCAUUACCUUCUAGCUCUUUCAUUUUUUUUCCUUUGCCGGGCCACGCUACUCUGCUGGCACAGGUAGGGGAAGAUGUCUCCAGCUCUCCUUUCCAAUGUCUCCAUCCAUGCAUGAUGAUGAGUUAUGUAUUGAGUAUCUUCCAACUUUACUUGAUUGCAUUCAAAUGGGAGAGAGAAAAGAUGGUGCCUAAUUUACCAUUAUGUAUCGCAUGCCUUUUUUUUUUUUGGUGGCGUUGAUGUACUUCUGUUGAGAGAGAAAAGAUGGUGCCUAAAUUAUUUUUCCAGGCAUGUACAAUAAUUUAUAAUAAUUUACCUAUCUUUUUAAGUAAACUAUUUUUUAGGUAUCUAUAUUUUCCAGGUAAAUUAAUUUUUAGUUUAUUUAUUUUUUGGUCAAUUAUUUUCACCGGCAUGCACAAUAAUUUACCUAUCUUUGUAGGUAAACUAUUUUUGUUGUAGCAUCUUUUACCUAUAUUUUCCAAGCAAAUUAAUUUCCAGCUUAUUUAUUGUUUGGUAAAUUAUUUUUUCUAGGCAUGUACAAUAAUUUACCUAUCUUGUUGUACAAUAAUUUAGCAUCUCUGUACUUUUGUUGUAGCAUCUCUUACCUAUAUUUUCCAAGAAAAUUAAUUUUCAGGUUAUUUAUUUUUCCAGGUGUGUACAAUAAUUUACAAUAAUUUACAAUAAUUUACCUAUCUUUUAAAGUAACUAUUUUUUAGGUACCUAUAUUUUCCAGAUAAAUUAAUUUUCAGUUUAUUUAGUUUUUGGUAAAUUAUUUUCACAGACAUGUACAAUAAUUUACCUAUCUUUGUGGGUAAAGUAUUUUUUAAGUACCUAUAUUUUACAGGUAAAUUAAUUUUCGGGUUAUUUAUUUUUUAGGUGAACUAAUUUUCAGGUUAUUUAUCUUUUUGGUAAAUUAUUUUCCAAGCAUGUGCAAUAAUUUACCUAUCUUUUUAGGUAAAUUAUUUUUCAGAUAAUGUACCUACAAAAUUUAAUAUCUAUUUCAUGCAUAUUCUACCUUGUUCUAACAUUAACUCCUUUUUUUUUUCAAGUAAAUAAUUUACCUCAAUUUAACGGAUCUGGAUCCUUCACUUGAAUUUUCUCUGUCAUGAUUUACUUGACUUUUGCUCUCAACAUAGUACCUUAUUUAAAUUUCAUCCAAGGGGCUUGACAGUUCACAUAUUUUCAUUUUUGGACCACACUACAAAUAUUUUUUUGGUCAAUGGUCCAGGGUGCAAUUAGUCUUUCCCGUUACAGGCAUGUGCAGCACGAGGGAGCAAAAUCGAACAACCACAUCAUUUUAUAGUUACCCUUUUCUAAUCUAUGUCUCCUUUUUCAACGCAUAGUCUCUCUCUCGAUUUCUCUCUGUUUUCCCCUUUCCUUUAUUUUAUUUUCCAUUUUUAAAUUAACGCUUCUUCAAUCCUUUCUUAUCUUCAAGAGCUUUGUCCUUUAUUUAUUACCAAAAAACAAAGAGCUUUGUCAUGUACGAUUUAGGCUGUGCUUUCUGGAAUCUAUACUGCUUUUUGGCAAUGCCUAUUACGAUUUAGCAGCUUUGGCAGAAGAUGACAGCCAAAACAUCAAAUGCGUGACUCACUAAAGACUGUCAAAAUCUACAGUCUAUUUUUUGGACACAAACUGAUUUCAUUAGGAGCCCCAAAAUAGGUGUAGAAAGACACAGUACAGUCAGUCAUAAAGAGAGACAAUAAGACCAUAAUGACCGAGACAGAACCACUAGACCUCCACCGCCUUAGCACCAAAUACCAAUCGGAGUUGCUGCAUGAGCAGCUCGAUUCUUCUCACGAGGGAUCCAACUCCACUCAAGAUUGUUGAAAAAAAGCACUUGCUCUUCUAAUCUCCAGGAUCAAAGGGAAAAUUGUCCAGAUUCUAUUCACAUCACCACCCUUGACCCCAUCAUACAGUAUACUUUAUGUGUACGUAAUUUGCGCCAUAAUAUUUUAAACUAUCUUUAAGUUCUGAUCCUAUGAACUUGUGUUUGAAAAACAAAUCUCCCUAUGAUUUGGAAAGUAAAACCCAAUAUUUUAUUCAUGGUGAUUAAAGAUCCGUAAUGGUAUCUAAUUUGUUCCAACUGUUGUUAUUUUCACAAUCUAACAGUUUCGCAAACGUCAGAGACGUUUUAUGAUAAAAAAAAACCUUCAAAAAAUUUAAGAUAAAUUUACCUAUUUGUAAAAUAACUUAAUCAUCUCUAUAUCUCAACUACUAAUGGUUAACAAAGAGAAUUUUCUUGAAUUAAUAAUUAAAUGGUAUUUUAAGAAUAAUGAUGUGCGGACAAAAUAAAUUAUGUUAUUUUAAAUUUACAUGAUGAGUGAUAAGAUAAAAUGUAUGAAGAAAAUAAAAAGAGAUGAAAAUAGCAGGACUCCUUGUUCAAAUUAAUCAAAGUAAAAGUAGAAAAAGACGUGUAACCUAAAGAGUUGAACAUGGACGACAAAUGAAUUAAUGAGAACAAAACAUACACAUCCCCCAAGUAGAAAAAUAACAUGGAAAAGAAAGCACCACAAGUGGAACAACUUUAUAGAAAACCAAAAAUAUCUAAAGCACAGUAACUAAUUAUAAUGAUCCAAAUAUUUUUUUUUUUUUUCCGAAAGAUGAUCCAAAUAAAUGGACAAGUAAAGAAAGUACAAUUUUCAUUAAACUAAGAAAUUUUUUUAAAAAAAGAAAAAAAGAAAAAAAAAAGAAGUUAAAAAGUCAUUGUAGGUGCUGCAUAUUGCACUUUUGUUCAGUCUAGAAAAUGCACUUUAGAUGUUCGACGAAAAGCCUAAAUAAAAUCUGUGUUGCGUUGCGCUGCUAUGUGUAGUGAGCCUAUUUUUUUUAUAAAAAAAAAUCCCAGCCAAAAGAAUGUUGUUUUAGACCAGAAUUUAAAUAAAUUAAAAAAUAAAAUAAAAUAAAAAAAGGAAACCUGGGCUGCUAUUUCGUGGGCUUUAACCUAUUUAUAUUUAGGGCCUACAUAUAAAAGAACAUAAAGACUUUUGACUCUAGGGCUUUUAACAACAAAACUUUCUUCUUAUUCUACAACAAUUGUAGGUUAUUUGUAAUGCUAUUUUUUUUUUCUAUGACUUAUGAAUGAUAUUGGUAUUGUUUAAAUUAUAAAGAUAUUUGAUUGUUAAUUUUUAUAUAUAGAGCUUUUAGUCUUUCAAAAUUACAUAUCCACUAAAAAAUUUAUAGAUCCCCCAAGUAAGUGAGUCAACCGUGGUGGUGAGUGGCCAUGGAUCCACAAUGUUGAAAGUACUCGACGACUUCAACGCAUAGAAGAACUUGAGGGAAAGGAAUUCAAGUGCACAUUCCAAGUGCUGCUGGAGUGGAGAGGUCCAUGAGACCCUGAAAAUGCCCCGUCUGUCCACGCACCAUGGAGAAAUACGAAUGUGAUGCCCACCAAAGUGUGUAUCUUUACGUUCAUAUAAAUAAAAAAUAAUGAAUGUAUAAUAAAUAAAUAAAAGGGAUGCACUAAACUUUUUCGUCAUCGACUAUAUAUGUUUUCCUAGAUUUUAUUUUAAGCCCCUUGAGUUUCAAUACUAAUGUUAAGCACGCACACCAUGAGAAUCCCUUCCAUAGGUACAUCCAAAAAAGUUGGAACCUUUUUCUUUUCUCAAAUUACUCACUUGUUUUGUUCCCCGUACUUGCUUAUUAUUGUUAGACCCAAAAACGAAAAACCAUGCCGUGUGUGUGAAGAUUGCUACGUUUUCAGUUGUUGUCACGAGAGUGGCUCCCAUGGCAAUAGCAACUUUUAUCUUCCAUUCAACUGAAAAAAAAACAUCUUACGGGUUCGUUGGCAUACCAGUUGUGCAGGGACUUGGAUUGGAUCCGCAAAGUCUUAUCCUAUCUGCUAUGCGGUUUAAUUAUAACCAGACAUUUUUGUUUUCUUUAUAUAUAAUUUUGUGUUCUUAAUCUUUUUCAUACACUAUAAAAAAAAGUGACAAUAGUUACCAUUUUGUCACCAAUUUUGGUGACUAUUGUGGGGUUACUAAAGGCUUUAGUCACAUUUUUUUUUACUUUUUUAGUGACUAAAAAAGCUUUUAGUCACAUUUUUUGCUUUUUUUAGUGACUAAAACCUUUAGUAACCCCCACAACAGUCACCAAAGUUGAUGACAAAAUAGUAACUGUUGCCACUUUUUUUUUAUUUUUUAUUUUUUAUAGUGAUAUACAUGUUUUCUUUUAUAAAAAAUAUUUAGGACAAAUACUCUUAAUCAUUAGAACUAUAAUAAAUUCCUUGUCGUUCAAUAGGUGUUUAUCUACGUUCAUAAAUUGGAUCCCCAAAGUCUCAUCCAAUCUAUGUGGUUUAAUUGAAAACAAUACUACAUUAAUUUCUCAUCUAAUUAGAAAAGACAUGAAAAUUGGUUUUUUCAUGAAUUCCUUUAUGGUGAACCGAAAUUCUGGUCAGAAAGCUAGAGAGAUUUUUGUGGUUGUGACUUUGUUUAUGAGAAUGUCUCUGUCCGGUGUCACGCCAUGACCUAAAUCUCUCUUCUUGGUUUUGCAGCACGUGAUCAGUUGAACAGUGGCAUUGAUCAUCCAACUUUCAACAUACAUCUUAUUUCAUAUUUUUUUGUUAACUUUUUUCAUUAAUUUGAUUCCAUUUCCAUUCAUCCUUUUUAUGGUUGAAGUUUUUUUAAAUUUAUCUACAGGCCUAGCUGGUACAAUAUAGUUAGGUAGGGCUUCGACUAUCGAGUCUAGAAUUGUUAUGAUGUUGCUGGAUAGUAGUGUGGUAGGGUCUCUAUGUUUUAUGUAUAUCUUUUUUCAUGGAACCGUUAUCGUCUGAUAAAUCAUAAAUUCAUGAAGUAAAACGAGUGUCUAAUAAUUGAUUAUGGACGAAAAAAGCUAUAUCAAAUUAAAAUUACUUGUAUGAUGACUGAUAAUGUCUAGAGGAAAUCGAAUAUGCCAAUUUAAAAUUAUAAUAAAUAAAUAUAAAUAAACUUUUAAUUAUGCAUUCUCCAUGUUAAUUAAUCUUUUAAUUAAGCAGCUAUGGGUUCAUGGUUUUGAGAGCAAACUUCAAAAUCUGUAAAGCUCAUUUACCUAAACCCUAAACCCUUUUUAGAGAGGCAUGAGCAACACGAGGGUUGAUCUACUUUGCACAUGUGGAUGAAAUUGAAUUACCAUAAUUGCUUUUCUUUAGAUUUUUCCACUCCAUGUCGCUUUUUUAAAAGCAAAAGGUCCCCUCCCUCUCUAGAGAGAGAUCUCUCUCCUUUUUUUUAAUUUUUUUUUAUAAAUAAUUUUUUUUUUAAAUUGUCUAAUUUGUGAUUUCCAAACAAAUUUAUUAUGUUGAGAGAACGAAUGUUAAAAAUUUAUUAUUUGUCUCGCCCAAUUGAUUUUGGAUGCCCCUAUUUAUUAUGUAUAUGAAAUAUUAGAUGCUACGUAGUACUUAUUUAACUGAAGAGUGAUCCAUCAUCUCAAUUAAAAGACCUUGUUAUCACUUAGAGCAUCUACAAUUAUGUUUUUUAUUUUUUAAAUUAAAAUUGAGUUAAAAACACAUAAAAAUUAUUUUUAGCAUUUUUAAAAAAAUUUGAACUCCGAUCAUACUCCCUAGUUUAGGGAGUCCUAAAUACUAUAAUUAUUUUUAAAUUCAAUAGAAUUGGUCAAUCACUAUAUAAAAAAAUAAAAUAAUAUUUAUUAAAAUUUUAAAAUAUGCCUAAAACAAAGCAGCAUUAAAUUAUAGGGAGACACUAUGAGUCCUUUCUCACUCCUCAUAUUUUAAGAGGUGUAUAAAAAGCAUGAUUGAAGUAUUUUUCCAAUUUCUUAGUAAAAUUUGUCUAAAAAGGCGAUUUAGGGAGCCCAUUGUGAAUGCUCUUAUAUAAAACAUAAUUUUUGUAUUAGAUUAUUUAUAAUCAACAAAAAAUUAAUUGGAAUAAACCAAAAAAAAAUGAUGAGUUGAGUUUUGAGGUGAAGAAUGUCUUCCCAUGUGCUUCCAAGUUUUACAUCAUCUCUUUGGUCUUCACUCAGCAAAUUAUUGCCCUGCUUUGCUUUCUGUUAUGUUCGAAAUUAGUCUUUCGUCCAAAAAAAAAAAAAAAAUGUUCGAAAUAAGUCUCUAUCUUCAAGAGUAUUAUCCUUUGGAAUCUACUUUUAGCCUAGGCAAUGCUUAUUAUGAUAUGACUAUUUAUAGACCACUUUAUCAAUUUUUUAAAUAUUAGUGGAGUCCACCAAUAUAAUUGAUUCGGCAUUUAUUAAAGAGUUGUUACACAAUGUGAUUUAUAAAUGUGAUAUUCUUAGCAUUUUUUCAUAUUAUAAUACUUAUCAGGUUUGGUAGAAGAUGGUCCCAUUCACAUUGACAUUUGUGGCAUUCGUGACACUUGGUAAAUCAAACUAUGUAAACAUCACAUGUGAAUCACUAAAUAAAAUUAUCAUUAUCUACGCGUUCACGUUUUUAACUUUAUCUAAAUAAAAGUAGACAAAUGUUGAUAUAUUUGCAUCCAAGAGAGUGAUCCACACACCCACAUGCUUUUCACAUAUCCAACAGAGACUUAAAACAGAAGCAAAACAACUAAAAGAAUUAAAGGGGAGAAGCUCAGCAUGUUCAUGUGACCUCAUUGUAGGGCAGCAGUUCCUUCCUCAACAGAGACCAAGAAAGGGGCACCUUUUUUUUUUUCUUUUUUCUUUGAGAAACUUGAAGAAUUUACUUCUUAAUUGCAAACAAGGAUGCUCUUCAAUAUAAUACAAAGUGACUUUCUGGAGGACGCCAAAAAAAGGGUAUUUUGUCAUUCAGAAUAUGAUGAAAUUAUAAGCGUGUUUAGCCAACUUUCAAACAGGAAAGAUCCAAGUAUCCUUUCUGCAAAACAAAUAAAAUAAAAAGGUUAACAAGACAUAAACCUAGCUGAUAAUUUAUUUCUUCAUUGUAAUAUGCAUAAAAAGUAUGGAAGACAAUAUUGCAUCUCAUCAAUCUAGAUGCUUCUACAGGUCCUUGUUGGGAAAUAUCUCAAUCCAAAUUCUACACGUGGAAAUAUUUUAUUGAGCUGGACCACACUUAUAUGCUACCGUCCAAAGUAAACAUGGCUAUAAAUAGAGGCACUGGGAAGCACUAAACUGCACAGCCAUCGGUUCAUAUAAGCCAUAAACCAUCUUUCUGUUUUCUUCUACCAUUAAGCCUUUUUCCAAGAGUUGUUAAACCUGUAAGCCAUUUCCAUUCACCAUGCUAGGCAUAGCACAAAAUGCGGUGAGCAAGGUGACCUCAGCAGUCACCAACACUGCUCACCACAUUGAGGGUGAGCUGAGUCUCUUUACCAUGUCUGACAACAAAAUUUUGGAGCUCAUUUAUGCAACCCAUGUUCAUGAGGAUGACUCGUUCGACGUUGACUCUCUUUUCUUGGUCACUGAAAACAUCAUCAAGCGUUCAACUCAGAUCGUUGAUAGCAUUGUGCAGGUAUGCUGCUACUCGUCUUGUCUUGUAUUUUUUUUUUUUUAAUAAUCUUUUCUAUUAAGAGGGGCGAUAGCAUACUAAACUUACACACACUACACGGAUGGUAGGACUCGAACCUAAGACUUUGCCUGAAGGAAUAAAUACUUCAUACCACUACACUAGUGAGUCCUUUGCGUCUUGUAUUUUUAUUAUAAGAGAAAUACUAGCUAUUUCCAUUUUCAACAUUUAAGUAAAUGUCUUUAUCUUUUUACUUUAAUUUAUUUUUAUAUUACUCCAUUUACUUAAGUUUACAAUGUAAAUAAGAAAGUAUCCCCCAUUUAGAUUCAAAUAAAAAUACUAGAAAAUCAAAUUCCUACCAAAUCAAAAUAUGAAAAAUCGGUUUUAGUGCAAAAUACGAUUUAGGCUAAAAAUAAUGGCUCAUUAAGUCAAUAUAUACUUCAUACUAAAAUCCCAUAAAAUCAAGUUUUCUUAUUUGAUGUGUAAGGAAUAAAAGCCGUAAAAAAUUAUCUUGAGAAAAUGAUUAUUCUGAAAAUCUAUUUUUCAUACUUAAUCAAUUUUACACAUCCGUUAAAAAAUUUCUGGGUCUGCCACUGACUACAAUCAUUAAGACACGUGUUGGUAUCUAGGGCCAUAGCUUGCAUUCGUCUUAGUGGUGAUGUUGAUUUAUUUUUAUUUCUUACAAGUACUUUGAUUUUCAUAUGGUUGAGUUAUGAGUUGGCGUUGUCCUACUUUAAUGGCACGAGAAGAAAUGAGGAUUGGACAAUUUCUUUAAAUACAGGACAAGUAAAUGGGACAAUUAAGUCGUUUGAGGCACCAAUCUUAUUGGGGUCCCGGUCCCCAACAUGACAGCUUCUUUUGUAGUUGUUUCUGAAAGUUGAGUAAUCGCACCAAAUUUAACCCAAAGUCACCCUAAUCAUCAUGCUACAUUAUUGCAUGGUCCACCCAUGUAAUUUGGUUUUCUAAACUAAUAGCUUUUUGGUCUUCAAGAGAAGGGGAAUGGGGUCCACAUUUUUGCAAUGCCAGGAAACACAACCAAAAAAAAAAAAAAGCAAAGAUUAAUUUUCUUUUUUCUUUUCUCUGAGGUCAGAAUAUUUUAUACUGUUUUGGGAAACUAUUUUGACAGAAAUGUCUCUUAACUUUUUCUUCAAGAAAUUUUUUUUUUUCUUUUCUCUCAAGUGGGAUAUGGAGAAUAUUGUCAAAAUUUUAUUUUGGGACUUCAAAAUAAAAACUGUGUCAGACAGAACCAUUUGUAAAUGCUCUAUCUCAUAUCUAUAUACAAACUUAUUUCCCAAACAAAAUGAGUUCAGUUUUAGUGCCUGAAUGUAGAUAUUAUUGAGCUGGACAACUUGGUUUGACUAUCGCUUGAAGUUUAGACCAUCGCUUGUACUAAAAAAAAUUAGAUAUGAUUUACCUGAAUAAUUUGUGGAUAAUAUGAUCAGCCUCUCCAGUCUCCGUUAGUGUCAAUUUAAUUUUAAAAGUAACCUGAUUAUAUUGUUAGAAGAAUUAGAAGUAAUCUGGACUUAUCACUUUGUUGAGCUUUUUGAGUGUUAGAACACUGCCAUUGUUGAUUACUUGUGAAUUUGUUGCAGGGCACCCAAGUUCACGUUGACACCAUAGAUGAGAAGCCCCCCAAAGCCAGCUUCAGCUCCCCAUUGUGCACUCUUAAGUCCAUUGGCUGCGAGGUCAUUAAAUAUCACAUAGCCUAGUAAUUAAUUCUUAAUUCUCAUUUUUUUAACUUUUCCGCAUAAUUCCUAUAACUAAUCUGCUAUAUUUGUUAAUUCAGAUGUCAUGCAAGCCUCCAGGUGAAGAGAUUUCCCACAAAUCAACACUAGCAAUACUUAACAAGGUUUCAAACUAUUCAUGGGAAUCCAAGGCAGUGCUGGCCCUUGCAGCCUUUGCUUUGGAAUAUGGAGAGUUCUGGCUGCUUGCCAAGAUUCAUCAAUCUGACCUCCUUGCCAAGUCUGUGGCAAUCCUUAAGAGAGUGCCGGUGCUUCUGAAGCCUGCGGAUCUCCAGAAGCGCAGGCAAGCGGUUGUGGAGCUCAACGUUCUGAUCAAGACCACAUUGCAAGUGAUUGAGUGUAUCUUUGAGCUGGAGAAGCUUUCUACUUAUGAUCCAAAGGAUGUGCCAGCACUGGCAAUUGCAAUGGAUCAUAUCCCUGUGGAUGUCUAUUGGUCUAUCAUAACUAUUGUAGCUUGUGCCACUAAGAUCACCCUUCUCACUAGUGAUGAGUAAGUUCAUGUCUAUACAAGUUAUAGUCUUUGUUUAAGGAACUCGUAUUGGUACUCCAAAAAGAUCAUCCUGCACUCCCCAUUUUUAAAACACAAGAAAGAAAUUGCCCUUGGAGAAGUGCAAGAUGAGUUCCUUGAACAAUAUGCAAGAGAUUUUAUUGGUACCACUUUAUGUAUAUGACUUUGGUUUACUUUGGUGCAGGGAGAAACACUAUGACCUGUCCCAAUUUGCUCAAAAAAUCCACUACAUCCUUAACAAGCUUAAGAUACAAUUGUUGAUCUGCAAAAAACAAAUUGGUGGGUAUUAGUUUAUUUAUAUCACUCACUACUUGUAUAUGUUGCACUAUAUAUUCGGCGUUGUUGAAGACUAAAGUCUGUUCUCUGUUUUCUGUUUGAAACAGAGGAGGCAGAGACCUAUCGAAAGUUGAGGAAACUUUUUCAGACCCCUGCCGAAGUUAUGGAGGUUUUCAAGGCCCUGAUUUUCACCAAGGAUACUGUGCAGCCAAUCAUUGAUGGUUCUACUAACAAAACGGUUUGCUCUCAUAGCACAUUUCUUAUAAAUUAAUUUAACCAUUGCUCUUUGUAGUUUGGCACUUAAUUUUGCCAUUGUGCCUAAUUGUUGAAACAGGUUAACAUUGAUGUGCUGAGGAGGAAGUAUGUGCUGUUGUUCAUCUCCACCCUGGACAUUUCUGAUGAUGACAUUUCGAUACUCAAACCGGUUUAUGAGGGAACAAAGAAAGAGGAUAAGUAUAAGAUUGUGUGGAUCCCCAUUGUGGAGCAUUGGACUGAUGAGCUACGAAAGAAGUUCGAGCUCUUGCGGGCCAAGAUGCCGUGGUACACGGUGCAGUAUUUUGCACCUGUAGCCGGCAUCAGGUUCAUCAAGGAGGAGUGGCACUUCAAGGGUAAGCCUGCAGUGGUGGUGAUGAACCCACAGGGCAAGGUGGAAAACACCAAUGCCCUCCACUUGAUUCGGAUUCAUGGAAUGAAGGCCUUUCCUUUCCACAAAGGGAUAGAAGAUAAAAUCACAAAUGACAGAGAAUGGAUCACCCCCAUUGUGAAUGAUAUUCACCCAAGCAUACAGACCUGGGUAAUUAAAUUAAUUUUUACAUCUGCAUGCAUUUUAACUCAAGUUUUACAAUGUGCACAAAUAAAUUCAUGGUUCGAUUUAACUUGUAACAUAUUUGAUUUGAUCCAUUGACAGAUCAAAGAGGAGAAGUUCAUUUUCUUCUAUGGAGGCAAAGACAAUGACUGGAUCCAGCAGUUCACAAAGAAAGCAACCAUCAUUGCAAAUGAUCCCUCCAUAAAGGACUUAAAGAUCAACAUUGAGCUGUUCUGUGUUGGGAAGAGCCCCAAAGGAGGGGAAGACCUUGGCGUUCUUGGGCGCUUUUGGAACGGCAUAGAGAGCUUGUUCUUCACCAAUGUCAACAAGCAAACUGACACUGUGACCAAAGAAAUCCAAAAGCUGCUUUCCUACAAAAACGAGAGUGGAUGGGCCGUGCUUAGCAAAGGGUCUACCGUGGUGGUGAGCGGUCAUGGCUUCACAAUCUUGAAAGUGCUUGAUGACUUCGACACAUGGAAGACCUUCAUAAAGGAAAAGGGAUUUGAACUUGCGUUCAAAGCACACUAUGAGAAGGUUAUUCAGACAAUGAAGCACUGCAGCCGCCUGGAUAUCCCAACUGUUGCUGGGAAGGUGCCUGAGACCAUGAAAUGCCCCGAGUGUCCUCGCACCAUGGAGACAUAUGUGAGCUACAAGUGUUGCCACACUGAUGGUCCCAUUAACGCACAUCACUAAAGCUCUUGUUUCUGCUGAGUUUAUGAGGGCAUCAGAUGCCAUAGUAAUACUAUGAGAAUAAGUAUUAUGCUUUCUUGUUUUGGUUUCUACAAUAAUCAUGGGCAGUUCAUUACUUUGGUUUGGUAAUGUGAUGUCCAACAAUGUGAGUAUGAGUCUGAGUCUGAGUGUUGUGUGUGCAUCCAGUAUUGCAAAUGUAAUGUUCAUCUUUGUUGUUGGAUAUUGUCAUGUUAUGUGAUCGGCCACAACUUUUUCAUCAUCGCUAUCAUUUGUAUUUUCCUCGAAUCAGUAGCCGCUUCAAGAUUUGUUGUUGCUUCAUGUGCUCUAGGCAUGGAGAAAUGAAUAUUUUAGCAUCAGAAGCCAUUCGAAAUGGUUGUUUCUCUUGAGACCAUGAUUUAUAUGAUGCCAAUAGGAAAAAAAUUGGUAGUAGGUGACAAGACCACUAAGACUAAAACCAAAUGACUGUUGCAACAAUUGUUCUAAAAGACCACUAGAUGAGGAUGAAUAAUGUCACAUCCUAUGGACCCGUCAAGUUAUGCUCUCAUACUCAACAAAAUAUUAACAAAGUUGAAGUCAUCCAACUAUCAAUUCAGUAUAUCAUGGCUAGUAUUAAAUAGGAGUUUCAUGACAUCAAUAUCACAAGCAAGUCUGGCCCAAAGCCUAUGCGGUUUGCAUGGAUGCUAGAAUGAGUUGUUAUUGUGAGGGGUUAUAAUGAGAGGGUCCUUAAUAACUAUUCGAUCUAGUGCAGAGUUAUUAUUGGACUGUUGGAUUGAACCCCUCAUUGUAACCCCUCAAUAUAGCCUCUCAUUAUUGAAGCUCCCGUGCGGUCUCUGCACUCAUGAUCACAUAGGGUCCAAACAUUAAAGGCCUCUUAGAGAUGAGUAAGUCCAGUAAAUAAGAGAACAAAAAAGGUCUUUUCACAGGUAUUUGGUUGAUAGUUUGGGCUUUCUUCCUCUUUUCUAUUACAAGGAGACUCCUUAAAUUUUGUGAAAAAAUAGGUCUAUUUUGUUGAGUUAUGUGAAGUCCCACACCAAAUAUUUAAUAAAAUAAGUAAAAAUAAUGAAUGAUAUCACGAUUAAUAACAUCAAGACUUUUUGUAUAACACUAUACAAACGUCCAACUGUGCAAACGGUUACAUUUGGGACAUUAUUGAUGUUGGUAGUAGUUUUAUUGGUUUUAGUUCAACUUUUUAUUAGUACAUAAAGGGGGCCUCGACCUUUUAUUUUGCACAGGAACUCCUAAUUCCAACGCCCUUGAUCGCAAGGUAGCCAGCCUAUGGAGGUGAAACUGUGGCAACAAUUUACUCGACACUUCUCAUCUAAAUUGAGGGAGGUACAGGUGGUUUAGUGUUUCCCAAAUUGACUAUUUCACAAGGAAUGAGGAAACUUGAACUGAACUUCAACGAGUUCAAGCUCAGUGGAAAAUGGUAUUGACUUGCAAACCAAUGAUCUCAGGUUCGAACCUCUAUGACACGUUGAUAUUGUGUGUGUAAGAUACCCUCUUUCUAAAACCCUAAGAGGCGCCGCACCAUCUCUCUCAAUCCCUCAUAGCCUUGGUGUGCAGCUCCAAGGGACCUCCAAGCCUAUUUUCAUGGGUUCCAAGAGGUCGUGCCACCCCAUUGUGGCUCCGUCACUGCCCUACACCAUUCCAAGAAAUGACAAAUGGACCUAUUGAAUUUAAUUUUCAUUAUUAAAUUACUUUGAUGCCUUAUUAAGUGUUUUAGUUUUUAUGAUUUUUUAUGAGAUUUUAAGAUUGGGCUUGUUUUAAGAAAUCGAUGGCAGUUUUCUAAUUUAUAGGGAGUUCAAAGCCUCUUUGUUAUGUUGUAAAUGAGUUUUGGAUCUAUUUUAAAGUCCAUUUCAUGUGGGGUUAAAUUUUUUUAAAAAAAUGCCCUUGUAUUGGGUAUAAUAGUAAAUCUCCCUAAAAAAACUUGAACUGAACUUUUGGUCCAACAAAUUUGGUUCAAAUCCCAAAAGGGUGCAAACCCCAAAACUUUUGGUUCAAUAAAUUUGGUUUGAUAUUGUUGAGGCCAAAAAAAUCCACGGUUGGGCCCGAAUAAAUUCCCGGCCCAAUACGACACAUCAUUGAGAAAAUACCCAAUUUAGAGCAUGCAAAAGUCCGCCAUGCACGAGUCACACUCCACGUGCCAUGCCAAAUAAAUAAUCCGUCAUGCUAGGAAUCUAGAUUAAGAUUAUAAAAUGCAUUAACUCUGCAAAUCCAUGCUAAUUAUCCCGUCAAGCAUUAUAAUUAAAAGCAUGCCAAGCGACAUGCCAUGCCAAGCAGGAAAUCAUUAUUGCAUACCCAACCACGCUACAAGCCUAAGUGGACCCAAGCCAUUCGAAUGCCAGGGGCUUGCUUGAGUGAGUUGUGGUAUGGAUGGUAAUAAAUCGACAUGAGGCCUAUUGAUAGGCCGAGACAUGGAAGUAUCGGGUUGCUUAAGAGCCUCAGGACUCAAGUCCAUUUCCUAGGCCUAAACAUGUGGGUGAGCACAAAAGAGGAAAAAAUAGCCCAAUCAAAAUAGCCUAUUGACUCAACCAAAAAGCCCAACGUUUAAUAAAAAUAGCCUACUUACUUAAUGAACCACCUUGGCCCAUACAAUUACCAUAAUAAGCUACAAAGGCCCCAGCACCUGGCUGGAAAAACAAAAGCCACAAGAGGAGGUCUGAAGGUUCAUUGAACAAAGCUGCUGGGAGGUUCCAGCACAUGGGGGGAGCAAGUUUCAAGCAAAAAAAUUCAAGGAACCAAGGGAUAUUAGCGCGCAAGCUGCCAGGAGGAGAAACACCCUUCGGACCAGCAUGUACAUCCAUUUGCUUUCCUUCAUCAGAUCUAGCCAUGGAAGAAGGAAGGAAAGAAGAAGAAAAAUACCUGAGAAUGAGAAUCUCCCACUGAAACAGCUGUGGGAAAUGGGCCUUAAGCUCCAAAAAAUCCCUGAUUUUGUGCAAAUAGGCAGAGAAAAUUUCACCAAGAUAGGAAAAGUCAAGGGAGGAGAGGAGAAAGGAAGGGAAAAGCUUGGCCAAAUUGGGUAGAAACCAUUAGGGUUUCUUGGGAAGGGAUGGUUUCCAGCGGCUAUAAAAUGCGGCCUCUUCUACCCAACAAAAUCAACCUACAUCCAGAGAGCAAGCUUCCUCUCUUGCCUACAAAACCUAGCAAUUUGGUGCACUAUUCAUGCUUCUUCUCCACUUUCCUCUUCUGGCAGACCAUUUUCAGAAUCUCUGUCAAUCUGUCGGAAGAACAUUGUUCUUUCUUUCUCUCUUCUCAGCCAAAUCUUCUUGCAAACCUUUCCUUUCUUACCUUAACACUCAAUUUUUCCCCAAAAAAGCAUAAUUUUCUCUUCAGUGCUAAACUCAUGUCCAUUUUGCUUCCAUGCCACAAGUCUUUCAUGCCAAGCUAGAAAAAUUUAUCUAUAAGCAUUAAGAAAUCAUCUGUAAGCUACUGUUAUUUUAGUUGGUGAAGGUAACCAAGAUGCUUCCUAAGGCUCUACUGCUAUUUCGAAGCAUUUUUUGGGCUUGAUUUUCGAACUCAGACACAGAGGACAUGUAACACCCCGACUCCAAAUUAAAUAUUUAUUUUAAUCGAUUUAAAUAAAAUUACGAAUUUACCCUUCGGGUAGGGGUAAAUUGGUCACUUUCUUCAUCGAAAGGAUUUUGGGACUGUGGAUGGUAUUUCUGAGUAGGUGGUUCUGAGACGAAUUCGUAGACAUGCGAUAGGCUUGAAUCGAAAUUGUAACGAAAAAGUUACGGGCAAAACACUAUCAGUGACAAAACUGUAAAUAUUUCAAAAAAUGUGGUAAAAAUCAGAUUUUUCACCUCAGCUCUCUCUCUCCUCACGCGUGCUCGACACUCUCUCUCUCCUCAGUCUCUCUCUCUCCCCGACACCGACUCUCUCUCUCCUCGGUUCUCUCAGCUCUGGCCACGGCAGGACACGAGACCGGUCCCGAUUGACUCGCCUCGACGUCCCGAUCAAGACCUGCCCGUUUUUCCCAUCGGAAACUACGAAAUCCGGCCGCGAGCUCGACUGUUUUGAAUCGGAGCUUUCCCGCCGUCGCGCCGCUGCCUCCGCCGCCCAAACCCGGUGAGUGAGGUAUGGUUUCUCAUCCAUUUUUCGAGUUCUAGCUGACUGUUGUAUAGGUUUGGACCGAUUCGUUGUCUAGGAAAUCAAUUAGAAAAUCUAGGUUUUGGCCGGAUUUCAAAAUGAAAUUCCGGCCAGUUGCCGCCCGAAUUGGACAUUCCCGUAGUUGAAUGAAGUGAUCCUGACCUCGAGUAGGAGCUAGGGUAGGAAGGGUGAGCUCGGGUGUGGAGUUUUUCCGUCGCUGGAAUUACUCUACACACCCACGCGCUGUCGGCGUGUGUGGCGGCGCGUGGGCGAGGCUGGUGAAGCUGUAAAUUAACCCGAUGAGAUCCUUAGGUUGUCACGAGCGCAUAGGAAUUCGCGGAUCUCAAUUCGGAUGUCGUUUGACUAUCGAACGAAUUUUCGCAUAUUGUGCGUUAAUAGAGUUCGAUAGGUUUCGACCGUUAGAUCUUUCUCAAAUUAAAAUAUGUUGUUCUAGGUAUUCCUAGGACCAUAUGGGACUUCACGAAUUAUGAAUCGGAGCCCCGGAUGUUCCGAUUCAAUAAUGCAAAGUUUGCAGGUUAGCGAUAACCGUAAAAUCGUAAACGAUUCCUAAACCUGUAAUCGGACCUUAGGAAACCUUCUUCAACAUGCACGUACGGGGAAUUUGGGGAUUUAAGCAUUUAAUUUGUGAUUUCCGCUUCGAUGUAAUUUUAUAUUAAUUAACGGUUCGUAUCUCGAAAUAGGUGUUUCGACUGCACGUACGUAGCAAGCAGGACCCUCACGUGGUCAGGCAGCUUGAGAAUACUUGUGAGUGGACUUUGUUUUCAAUCAUAUGCAUGGUUUUAAUUGACGAAAGAUUUUUGCAUAAUGUUUUAAUGGCUUAUGGAAUAUAUAUUAUAUUCAUGAGUUGAUUAUGAUGGUUGUAUAGCACUUGGCAAUAUAUUGUGAGUUUGGCAUUUUGGGUUUUGGAGAGUGCAUUUUAUUUGGGUUGUGGGGAAGUAUAUUUAUAUAUUAUCUAUAGACGAGAUACUUGGGUCGUUGGAGGGUGUUGUGGAAGAAUUUGACUUUGAGAGGAGUUGUAUGAUUACACUAUGUAAGUACCUUCCCCAGUUACCAGUCUCACUCGCGGCGUUGGAUGUUCCGGCGUGUGAGACACUUUCCAUAUGCGGCGUUCGAUGUUCCGGCGUAUGGAAAGACUUUGUAUAGAGUUUAGGGUCAUCACCAUGGCGUUGGAUGUUCAAGUGUGUGAUGAUCCAGUCUGCGCGCGUAGGACAUAGUUUGGGAGCUACACAUGGCGUUGGAUGUUCCAGUGUGGGAGCUUUGGAGUUUCGUCCCCCGGUUGGACCGCUCAUCCCUAGACGCAGAAUAGCACCUGGAAAUCCUGCGAACUAGUCAAAUGAUCCCCCAGUUAGAUUGUUUUCCCGGUACCUAGGUGGUGUGAUGAGUGUAUCGUAUAGCUAUUUAUAGUUAUGUUUAUAUAUAUAUAUAUAUGUAUAUUUAUAUGUAUACGUAUAGUUGAGUGAGCAAGGAAUUAGAGUUUGUUUAGUGGUUUGACAGGAGUUGUAAGAUUGAGAGAGUGGGUUUCUUUUUGAAGGAGAUAACUGGUGUUUUUAGAAGAGUUUUAAUGAAGCAUGUUUUGAGUAAUUAAUUAUUGAAUUGUGAACCUGUAUGACUUGAGCAUUAUUUUUACAUGGUGGGGUUACUAUAUUAUUUUUAACUGCAAAUCUGGUUUUUUUUCCACUCACAUGUUUUCUGUUUUGCGCCCCCCAGCCAGUAGUCGCUCCAGGAAGCGUGCAAGUGGUGUACGAAGCUCAAACUGUGCAUCUUUCUAGUUAGGAACUGAGUAAUUUCUUCUACUCAACUGUUCUUGUAAUCUAAAUUCAGUAGAUGCUCUGUAUUGCCCAUGGUAGAUUUUUACUUGUGAGGCCGGAGGCCGCUCUAGUAUGACUUGUAGAUUUAUGAAAGCAUGCUGCUGGUUGGAAUUAUUUUUAUUUUUAUUUCAUGCAUGUUGCAGGUUGAGUAAUAUUCGUUGGGAUUGCUUAAAUUACAGGGGAGACUCUGCCAAAAUUUUGGUAGAAAGUCUCUAUUUCUUAUUAGGUGGGCCCGGCAUCGGGAUGAUGUCGGAAUAAAGACGGGGUCCGCUUCGGUUUCCGAGAAAUUUCGGGACGGGUCCUGUCAGGACAAUUUCAUCAAUCUGCCAUUUACGGCAACCCAGACCAUUUACAGCUGCCGAAAGAAAAAGCCCCCACAAAUAUAUCAAAUUUAUAUGUUUAGCCGUGUUGUGGUUUGCUAUUCACCGAGAAAUCAAACUCUAUCUCUUUUUAGAGCCACAUGUCUUGUUCCAAUAAGAUUUUUAACAAGCUUAAACAUUGUGCUUUCCCCGUAUACCCACUGCAGCAUUAACACUUUUUUAUUUAUUUAUAAGGAGCACUAGAUUAGAUUGGAAAAUACCUAUAUUUCAUGUGCAUUUAUAGUAUAAUAUGGACAUUGUUGUCUAACUUGGUGGAUAAAUGGGGACUAUGAUAGGUUGAUGGCUAAAACAUAUCCCAUCUAAUCUCCUUGAAAAUAAGGGAUUAUGAGGGAUAAGUUUCAGUCAUCAACCUCUUAUGAAUAGUCCUCCUUCAUCCUCCAAGUUAGACAACAAUGUUCAUAUUAUGUCUUGAUUCUAGUCUAGUCUAGUCCUCUCUAUCAACAAGCUCUAAGUGUGUCUAUUCCCUCCUUUUCCCGUCAUUUCAAUUUUCUCUCUCCUCUCGCGUACACACACUGCUCUUCAUCUGCUACUCUUCUUCUUUUUUUCUCCUCUAUCCCCCCAUCUAAUUCCUUUCAUUACUCUUUAUUUUUGAAAGGAACCUAACUAAAGGACGAUAAAAAUUACAUUGUGGAGUAGGCUCAAACAAGUGCCUAGCGCGCUUAGUGCUUGAACACUCUUGUACGUAUAUGUAUUAUUUUGAACUAUUUUUGGUUUUAGAUCAGAGUUAUUCAUAUCUUGAUUCUAUAAUACAUGUUUUUCAUGUUUGUCAAAAAGAAGAAGAUGUGAAAACUUGCACAAACGUAACAUAGCUGUGACCUCUAACCUGUCCAACACGCCUGUACCCCGACAUAAAAUAUGUUUAGUAAACAAUUGUAUGAAUUAUCUAAUACUGAGGUAGAUACUUCUCUGAAACAGGAAGAAAAUAAAUAAAUAAAGUGACGUAGACACUGACCCAAAAUAAAGACGUAGACUACUAUGAGGUCGGCAAUUCACGGUGGAUGACUUUGUCACUUGUGAACAGUCGUGGACUUGUGUGCACAUACAAAGUAUAUUUUGUGAUUCCGGAUCCGAUCAGCACGGCAGAAAAGAUUAACUUGUUGGGAUUGAAGCCGGCAAAUUGGGUUCCAAUCAUUUCGAUAGGCACAUAGAAAGCAUAUUUCAUGAUAUCUUAUUAGAACUCAAAAACUUACACGUGGCUUUCCAUGGCGGGGUGGCAAUCCUCAACUUAAUGAAAUAUAUAAUAUUAUUAGUGCCUAACUUGAGGGUGUAUUUGAAUGUGGUUAUUAUGUACAUUGGUGCACAGAUGUGAAGAGUAGUUGAAUGUUAAGCAACUUUGCACGGACAUAUAAGAUGUUGAACUAUUUUCCUCAUUGCAAAUUGUAUUGAGAUUGAAACCUCAACUUUUUCAUCGUAAUAGAGCACGUUUUAGGGUGUAUAGGAAACUGCCAUAUUUUUAGAUUGGUUCCGCCGUAACACGAUAUUAUCCGCUUUGGGUCCCCUUUUCUGUCCUCACGGUUUUGUUUAUGGGAAUUCACGAGCAACUUUCCAGUGGGUCACCCAUCCUGGGAUUAUCUAGCUCCAACUCGCUUAACUUCGGAGUUCCCAUGAUUCCGAAGCUAGUGAGCUCCCAAAAGGCUUCGUGCUAAAUGGAGGCGGACAUGUACAUAUAAGGCACAUCACCCCCUCUCCGUUGGUCGAUGUGGGAUGUUACACAAACCUUGUAAAUCUUGUAAAUAUUGUGUGUAAACACAAUUUCAAGCGAACAUUGUAAAUCUUGUAUGUUGUGUGAUCAAUUGCUUUCUGAAUUGUUUUGCGCAAUUUUUGAGCUAGGAAAAUGCGUAGAGAAAUCCCAACAGUUGGUAUGGUAGGUGCAAUGUGAAAGGAAAAAAAAAAUAUUUAUUGUAUUUUUGUAUGUAAUGUGUUCAACCAAAUGGGCCCCAAACGUUAAAUAUGAUCGAGUUACUCAAAAUAAUAAUAUUGGAGAAUCAAAUUGAUAAACUGAACAUACAGUUGAGGCCGAGGGAGAGAGCACUGACUUUACAUUCAUAUAUAAAUAAAAAAUAAAGUCGCGAUCCAUGUGUGAAACGGUAGACUGGCCAUUUCAAAAUAGUAAAUUAGAGGAGGAUCCGCUUUUUGCGUAGUUUACAUGUUACCGUCCAUCCGUCAGAUGAAGAAGCAAAGGCUAUAAAAAGGUACAGUUUCAUAGUGGACAAGGCACAUUCAGCUCACUUGCAACACUUUGAAGCCAUCCCUAGUUCUUUCUGUUUCUGCCUCUGCUUAAACCCCAUCCCUAGUUCUUAAUCAUGAACAGCAUCCAGCUAAAUGAGUACAGCCAUUACGGGUUUACCUUAACCGAGCCAGAAGAAAUCUUGGAGAUCAUUUGUGAAAACCAUGCUCCUGAAAACCAUCCCAAGUUUGAUGUCCGUUCUCUUUUCUUCAUCACUGAAAACAUCAUCAAGCAUUCGACACAUACCUCAAUCGUAUCGAAAAGUGAUGAGAUCAAGCCCCAAAACUUCGAUAACUUCAUCUCCCCACUGUGCGCUCUCAAGUCCAUUGGAUGCGAGGUCAUACCAAUUUCUUUUUCUUUUAAUUUAAUUGCAUGACCAAAAUUGAUAUAUGCAUAUGCCUGAUGAUUAUUUACUUUCUUACACAUCUAAUAAGUCUUUGUUUGCUCUUGAAAUUUCAGAUGUCAUGUAAGGCUGUACGUGAAAAUAGUGCCCAAACCACAACCCUAGGAAUAUUUGGAAAGCUAACCAAGUAUUCAUGGGAAGCGAAAGCAGUGCUGGCCCUAGCAGCCUUUGCUAUGGAAUAUGGAAAUUCCUGGCUCCUUUCCCAGCUUUACCCCCAAUCUGACCAGCUUACCACUGCACUCGCAAUCCUUAAUCGCGUUCCACUCCUUCUCAAUUCCACCGCAAAUUUUAAGAAACAGCAGGAAACAGUUGUUGAACUCAACAAAACAAUCAAUGCGACGCUGCAAGUGAUUAAGUGCAUCCUUAAGCUAGACGAACUUUCUGCACAUAUUGAUCCAAACCAUGCAUCAUUGAAGAGUGCAAAAAAGGAUGUCCCAAUAAAUACAUAUUGGUCAAUCUUAACCAUCGUAUCUUGCGCCACGGAGGUCUUCUAUCUUACUAGAGAUGAGUAAGUAGUUCGGGCAUGCUUUCUUUUAUUCAUGUCGUAACCAUAUAGACAUAAUUAAAUUAUUAAGACCAUGAUUUCCUCCAUUUCAGAGAGAAGCCACAAGCUGUUUCAAUUCUAUCCCACUUUGUUACUAAAAGAAUCAACGACAUCCUAGCCAAGCUUAAGAGGCAGCUUACAAUCUGUCAAAAAGAAAUAGGUGGGAUGCUUCUGUGGAUGAAUUAUAUAACAUUGAACUUGACAUUUAAUCCAGUGCAUGCCCCACUGAAUAUUUUGUUUCGUUCUUCUUCUUUUUCCUUCUAAUUUAUUUGACACAGAUGAGCCAAAGAUCUAUAGGAAGCUCCUGAAACAUGUAGCCCAUGCCCAUGGUAAAAUUACGCAUGUCUUCAAUACUCUGAUUCUUUUCAAGGAUAAUGCUUAUGCGAAGCCAGCAACCCUUAGUGUCGGUUACACCAACAAGGAGGUUUGCUCUCAUAGCACAUAGUUUUUUGUAAUAUUUAGUAUGCUGUUACUAAUUUUGACACUCCACCAAUUCAAUUGUUUUUUUGUUUCCUCCUUUUUUUCUUUUUUCCACACAGGUUUUUGACAUCGACGUGCUGGACGGAAAGUACAUAACAUUUUACAUUUCGACACUAGACAAUGUUUCUCAUAAAGAUAUUUUAAGUCUUAAAGAAGUUUACGAGGGAACUGAAAACAACAAGUGUAAGAUUGUGUGGAUUCCUAUUGUGGAGGACUGGACUGAAUAUGGAAGAGAGGAGCAGUUUAUGGAAUGGAGGUCUAAGAUGCCGUGGUACGCAGUGCAGUAUUUAUCACCUGCAACCAUCAAGUACAUCAAGGAGGAGUGGUACUUUGAGAAUAAACCUUUGUCGGUGCUGAUGAACCCACAUGGAGAUGUUGAAAAUCUGAAUGCACUCAACUGGAUUCGGAUACAUGGAAUCAAUUUCUUUGCUUUCCGAAAUAUUAAUGUCAAGACAUGGAUUGCACCCGUAGUGCAAGAACUUAUGACCCCGGCAUUAGAUACCUGGGUGAGUAUGUAAUAGUUGUUUGACACCAACCGUCUAUUUUUUAAGUCUUUAUUUGAAGAUCACCUUUAAACAAAACAAAAAAUCAUCCUAAUCAGAAACCAUUUAAUUAUCAUCAUGAAAUUUUAAUGUUCAUAAAAACAGAGUGUUCAUCUAUUUAUUUGAUAAUAGUUUCCAAAUUAGCUAAUGUUUCCCAAAGAUAAAAUGUGCAUGAGUUUUAUCCGCAAAUCCCUAAUUAGUGUAUAUAACUUAUUGUUCGGCCGACAGAUGAAAGAGGGAGAAUACAUUUUCUUCUAUGGAGGCACAGAUGACUACUCGAUGGAGCGGUUCAGAAUGAAAGCAAACUGCGCAAAGGUUUCCAUCCUGGAGGAAUUAAAAAUCCAUGUCAAGUUAUUUUGUGUGGGGAAACUGGAAAAAGGAAGAAGCUUCUCAGAUGAGUCAAAUGCUGGGGGGUUCUGGUCAAGCAUACAAAGCUUGUUGUCUACCUUAUCUGAUUAUAAGCUGCAUGAGGAGCACACGGCCUUGAGAAAACAAGUCCACAAGCUACUUUCCUACAAAAACGAUGAAAGUGGAUGGUGUGUGCUUAGCAAAGGGUCUAGUGUCGUCACCAGUGGUCAUGGCUGGGCAAUUUCUAAGGUCUUGGAUGAAUUUGACCAGUGGAAGCAACAGAUUUCACAUGAAAGGAGCUUCGGAACGUGUUUCCAAGUUUACCACGAGAAGGUUUUAGCUCAGACUACAACUGCUGGUGCCCACUCUGCCGGCUGCAGCUUUGGCAAUGCUAGAAACAUGGAGUGUUGCCCAGUCUGUAAGACUCCCAUCGAGGCAACAUUGGUCAGCUAUAAGUGCUGUCGCAUGUGCAAUCUCACUCCCUACUAAUUGUCACCAUGCAAUUGGCUCCAUCCAGGGUUCAGAGUUCGUAGUUCAUCAUAUUUGCAUUGCAUGUGUUUAAUUUUUCAGUGAACGUUGGUCCUUAAUAAUAUGAGGAUUUUCGAAUGUCCUCGUUUUAAUAAUAUGACUGUGAAUGUGAUAAUCAUCGAUGUAUAUGUUCGUCGGUUUGAUUUCCAGAACUACAAGAUCAAGUAGUUAUGUUCAUGUUUUGAAUAUCAGUGCAUACAUGUCAUGUUUCGCUGCACACAGAUACAACUUUUUCAUCCUCCCUCGCAAUGUCUUUCAAAUUUCUACACCGCUAGAAGAUUAUAAAAUCCGAGUUGGGUUCGUCAGGUCAGCCAAAUCAUAUCAUUUCAAAAUUAUUGAGUUUACAAUUACACCUAAUCUUAUCAAAAUUAUUUAUUGAGUUUACUUCUCUCAAGUACAACGGAUCCGGAUUUUCAAAAACUAAAAAAAAAACAAAAACAAAAACAAAAAGAUUUUUCUCUCAAAUAUUCAGCCCCAAAUUCGUAAGUAAACCCAAACAAAUGGUCAGCCCCGUAUUAGUUUUCUUAUUAUAGACUCUGUAGGGUGGAUUAUAUGAUCAAAAUUACCAAGUUCAUAAUUCAAAUUUUGAAUUAGUAAUAGAAGAUUCAUUUAAUCAGGAUUUUAAGUUUCUUAUAUGUAUUUCAAAGGGCAAAAUGCAUAUCAGGAUUUUUGUAGAAAUGUCACAUGGACUUAUAUCUAAUUUGAAUUUGUCACUUAAAAAUAAAAAUAAAAAUUUCCAAGGUAUUUAGAAUGAAAAAAAAAUAUUAUUAAAAAAUUGUAUAUCUUUUAAGCAAUUAAAAAUGAAAAAAAAUAAUUAGGAAGAAAAAGCCUAAAAUACCCUUAAAAUAAUUCAUUGUUCUCUUUUUUUCCCCCUAAAAUAGAAAGAUUAAAAUACCCUUGCAUGUGACAUUUCUACAAAAAUCCCAAAAAUAAGAUAUAAAUGCCACUAGAUCUACUUCAACGACCAAAAAAAAAAAAAAAACCAUGGAUUAAACAUAAUAAGAAAACCGAACAAUUUGGGCUUAGAUCUAAAGACCCCAUAAUAAAAAUAUUUUUAUUAUUAAUGAAUCAAAUGUUUACAUCAGCUUAUGGCUUUAUAUAGAGAACUAGCUUAACAGAAUUACUUAGCAGCUAUUUCUCUCUAAUGAUAUUCUAACAACCCAAUUGAUUCAGCUCUAACUGUUAAAAGUGUUAAAAGUUAAAACUAAUAGCACAUGGCAUAACAACCCAAUUGAUUUGGUACUAGAUGUUUGUGGGAACACAUAUUUUAGCGACCAAUAAGAAGAUGACACGUGAAAAAGGAAUAUUCCUUAAGUCAACUAAUUACUCUAUUUAAUUAGGGAAAUUACCUUUGAAGAUAGGAAUAUCUCCCCAAAUUUGUAGACCGCACCCGACCGUUCUCCAUUACGGAUGAAAGAAAAAAAGGGUCGAGUGAGGUCUACAAAUUUCUUGAUGAGUUUUUUUUUUUUUUUUUUUUUUUCAGCUAGGUGUGAAACAUGGCUAUGGGCAUUCUCUUGGUUUAGUUUUAAUUUUAGGCUAAUAUGCGGGUUUUCCCCCUUAAAAUAUACUAUAUUUGUCAAUUUCUCCUCUCUUUUUUUGGGUAAAUUAAGGGCAUGAAUUAUUUAAAAAUAGCCAAUUUACCUCUUACGGUUGGAUUUGGGCUUUGAGGCUUGCUCAAGGCUAAUUUACUGAGUUUAACAUUGAAAGAGUUGGAGCAGUGUGGAUCUGUGUAAGUAUGUGUGUGUGUGUGUAUGUGAGAGAGAGAGAGAGAGAGAGAGAGAGAGAGAGAGAGAGAGAGAGAGAGAGAUCAGGAUGGGGUGGGGUGGGUUCGUCAGCGGAGGAGCGUGCAACUGUGUGCAAAAGGGAGGGCCUGGGUUUUUUUGGUUAAUUUUGUUUUUAACUUUUUUAUUAUUAUUUAAUAAGUGCAUUUUUAAAAAUUACGAAAUUACUCUUAAUAUUUACGGAAAAUUGGAUGGAGUUUGAAAAUCUAACGAUAAAAGGUAAAUGGGCUAUUUUAAAAUAAUUUGUGUCUUUAAUUUACCUAAAAAUAAUAUCUAGGGAGAAAAUUGACAGUUAUGAUAUAGUUCAUGAGGCAAAACUGCAUAUAACCCUUAAUUUUAUAUCUCAGCCGCCGAAGUUAUCUAACGAUUAAAACUAAAAUUCAUUAACAAAUCCGCACCCAACUCAUCCAAAGGACGCAUCCUCAAAGAUACUCAUUUGACUAUUAUCUUCCCUUAGCUACAUAUUAAUGGGCAGAACCAGUGCAAGUCUUGACUGUAGCAUAGGAAAGGUUUGGGAAAAAAAAAACAAAUUAAACAUAUAUAUAGCCUAAUAUUUAAACCAAUAUACAUAUACAAUUUCAUACCGUGCCAAGACCGAUAGGCAUAAUUAUAGGUCUUUCACAUUUGUAUUUGGUGUCAAAAUUUAUCCCAACAUCAAUUUCAAUCUUUUUUCAUUAAUUUGUCUCCAAAAGAGAAGCAUUUGUCUAAAUGAAAUUCACUCUUUCGUGAAUUAUAUGGCCCUAAUUUCAAUUUUUUUUUCUUCUUCUCUUGUUUGUAAUUAACAUAAUUUAUAUAAUUAAUGUAUACUUUUAUUUCUAGAAAAUUAUCGAAAAUGUAAGUACCAAAAGAAAAUUAUCAUUAAAUUUUAAGUUAAUAACUUUAACUCACUCACUCAUUGAAAAAUUUAUAGUUCGAUCCUAUUAAGGUAUGACAUCAUACAAAUUUCAUAACAUUGUUUGUGGUAAACUGAUAACCAGUGUGAAAGUAUAACAAAUAGUCUUACUACUCCACUAAUUAAUCUUAUCUUUUUUUUUUCUUUUGAUUUGGUAAUUAAGCUUAUCUUUAACAAGUGCCGAUGUCCAUGAUAUUCACAUGUUGCUUGCAACAGUGGCAUGGACAUUGAUGAAUGAAAGAAAAUACAAAUGUACGAUAUAUAUUUCACGAUGUUUUGAUCGGAUCUACCCAGAAAGAGUCGGGAUAUGUUCGGCAGCAGCAAUUUAUUUUCGUCAUAUAUUUAUUAUUUAAGCAUGUUCAAUUUUCAAAACGAGAAACAUAAUCAUGCCAAACCAUGUGAAUAUGAAGACAUAAACGAAAAAUUAUGGUUGAGUUAGUGGGAAUGCUUAAUUGGAGAUAAUAAUAACAAUUAGUGGCCAACGAGAAUGCACAUCACAUCUGGACAUUUAAAAAACUGUAGAUUAAUCUUUAUAAUUUGUUGGGGUUCUUGGGCCUAUACCUUCCCAAAAAAUAUGAGUCUGUAUUGUAUUCUAUGUUGAAGAAUCAAUACCGGAUUUUUUGGGAUUUUAAUGAAGUUUUUUAAAAGUUCAUAUAUGUAGUCAAUCGGAAUUUUCUACGAGUCCAUAGAAAUUUGAAUGUAUUUAAUACAAAAAAUUAUAAUACAAAAAAAAAAGAUAUAAUUCUUUAUUUUCACAUUAGGCCCUCAAAAACUCAGGGUCAACCCCGGCUAAAUCCAUACUUUUCCUAUAUUUUAUUGUUCUGUUUUCAAAGAAGCCACUAAUUAACACGUAAGUAUGAACGGUGACAUAAAAAAUUGAUAAUAAGACAAAUGACGUAAGACAACAACGAAAUGGAUGACGUCCGACGACUCGCCACAUAUGCACAAACGUGGUGGAGUUGUGUACAUAAAUAAGACAUGAACAAAUAUAUUUGAUGAUCUUCUGAUCUGCACAGAAAAAGAGAGUAAAUUGUUUUAUAUUUAAUCAUGCAUGUUCAAUUUUCAAAUACGAGGAACAUAAACAUUCACACUUUGUCAGCCAUAUGGUUAGUUUAGUGGGAAUGCUUAACUGGAGAAAAUAAUAAUAAUAAUUUGUAGCAAAACACGAGAUUUGUAUGUCUUUUAUUUUUUGUUUUCUCAGAAAGAUGAGCAGUCCGUCGCAGAUUUUUUGAAUUAUCAGACGAAACUGACCUAUCUCUUUCUAUAGUUUAAAAUUUGAUAGAAUUGUAGGGCUUUUCGCUUUCAGACCAUGUCAAUCAUUUCUGAUUGAUUAUCUGUCCAAAGCCAUUUACUUUUUUUUUAAAACAAGAAAUAAUUAACAUAUAAAACAAUGCGAAAUGAGGUGGAUCCUUGUUAUUGUACUAGACUCAGAAAUCUUAGCUAAUCAUUCUUGCAUCAUACUUUAAAACACCCAAUUAUGUGACUCAGAAAUCAUUAUAUUGUCUUUGUGGUGAAGCAAUUAUGUGAGUUCUGUUUUUAACCUUCAAAAUGAAAUUGAAACUCUUUAACACAAUUAAAACCCAAGUUUUAUAUUUGUUUCGGAGUUCGGAUAGGAAAAUAUUUAACUCCUUAUUCAAGCACUAUAUUUCUUCUUACUAUUUGGAAUUUUAAUAGGAAAAUAUAUACUUGACUCCUUACAAACAAAUCACAGUCUGAAAAUUUAUUUUUUAUUUUUAUAAUUAUAUUAAGGUACAUUCACAUACGUGUCCACUGUGAUAUUUGUGAUGGCCUUUUGUCUAUUGUUUUCAACCUUAUUGUCUCUUUCAGUUUGAGUAGCUUCACAUGGAGAUAACAUGGGGAGUAAUAUUUUAUUUGGGACAAGUUUUAGACUAAAUUGAAUAUGGCUAUAAAUAGGGCAGGCAUAUUGCAAAAGAAUGCUGCACCAACACAUCAAGCUACGAGCCAAUACCCGUUCUUUAGCCCUAGCCUUUGAAAUCCCCAGGACUCCCUACCCUAAGUCAUCAUCAUGCUAGGCGACCUCGCAAAAAAUUUGUUUUCUAAAGUUGAGGCUAGCCUGUUUUCCAUGUCUGAUAAGAAAAUCUUGGACCAAAUUUAUGCAACUCAUUAUGUCAAUGUUGAUACUUCCUUUGAUGAGGAUUCUCUUUUUGAAAUUGUUGAAAACAUCCUCAAGCAUGCAAUCCAAACUGUCGACAAAAUUGUGCAGGUACUUUAUCACAAAUAUUCUUAUUAAUUAUUACUAAUAUCUAAAGCACUGCUACAUAAACUUGUGGGUUGUUGCAGGGUACCCAAGUGCAUGAGGAAAACAUAGAGGAGAAGCCCCUCAAGGCCAACUUCAGUACACCAUUGUGCAUACUUAAGUCCAUAGCCAGCGAGGUAAUUACCUCAGAAAAUAAAUAAAUAUUUUUUUAUAUUGCUCGUAACAAUUUUCAUGUACAUACAUUAUUUUUUAUUUUUUUUAUUGUUUGCUUUCAUAUUUUUCAUAUUAAAACUAUUAAAUAAUUAAAUUUUCAGAUGCAAUGCAAACCUCCUGGUGAGAAAGUUGCCCAUGAAACUGCCCUCGCAAUACUGAACAAGCUGUCAAACUAUUCAUGGGAAGCAAAGGCAGUGCUGACUCUGGCAGCUUUUUCUAUGGAAUAUGGGGAGUUCUGGCUCCUUGCCCAGGCUCAGGAAUCGGACCGACUUGCCAAAUCAAUUUCAAUCCUGAAGAGAGUCCCUUUCCUCCUCAAGCCCUCAAACCUGCAAAAAAGAAGGCAAGCAGUGCUUGAGCUUAACAACUUGAUCAAGGUUACAAUGCGAGUUAUCGGGAUCUUCGAUCAGUUCGAAAAGCUUUCCAGUUACGAUCCAAAGGAUGUGCCGGAGUUGGCAUUAGCAAUGGAACAUAUUCCAGUGGAUGCGUAUUGGGCUAUUUUGACUCUUGUUGCUUGCGCAACGAAGGUCACUAUUCUCACCAGUGAUGAGUACGUUAACUCUUCAUUCUUAAUUGAUGUCUGACAAAAACAAAAUUCAAUAUUUGUUUAGUACUUCAAAAUAAUAAGACCAUGGUUGCCUUUGUUUCAGGGACAAGGAGCAUGACCUAGUCCCAUACGCUCAAAAAAUCCAUUUCAUCCUGAACAAGCUUAACAUGCAGCUGAAAAUUUGUAGAAAACAAGUUGGUGUGUAAUUACUUGCAGAUCCUUCAUUAGUCAUAUUAUAAUAUUAAUGAAAAAUGAUGAAAAAAGUAAUUUUUGUAUAAUCCGCAGAGGACGCAGAAGCUUACCGGAGGAUAAGGAAAAUCUUUCGAACUCCUACUGAAAUCAAGGAGGUUUUCAAGGCCCUGAUCUUUAGCAAAGACAAUGUUCAGCCACUGAUUGAUGGUUCUACUAAACAAACGGUUGCUCUACUGCCCUUACAAACUGUUGUUUAAGAAGUAUAUUAGGUUUUUAAUAGAGUGAAAUUGUGGUGGCCUAAUUGUUUAAACAGGUUGAUAUCGACAUCCUGAGGAAGAAAAACAUACUACUAUUCCUUUCAAGCCUAGAUAUCACUGAUGAUGACAUUUCUAUCCUCAAACCAAUUUAUGAGUUCACUAAGAAAGAGGACCAGCAUAAGAUUGUGUGGAUUCCAAUCGUCGAGCAGUGGACCGAUGAGCUGCGAAAGAAGUUCGAGACCCUGAGGAUCAUGAUGCCGUGGUAUACAGUGCAGAUCUCUGCACCCAUAGCUGGUUUCAGGUUCAUCAAGGAGGAGUGGAACUUCAAGGGUAAGCCUACAUUGGUGGUGAUGAGCCCACAAGGAAAGGUUGAACAUUACAACGCAUUCCACAUGAUUCGGGUAUGGGGACCCAAGGCCUUCCCUUUCACAGAAGCAACAGAA
rnacentral:lncRNA from 1 species